rnacentral:lncRNA from 1 species
UGGCUCCAAGCUCGCCUCCCGAAACGAUAUAAGGAGCUCGUCGCCUCCCCGCAACCCUAGGGCUCCCGUUUUCCCCUUCUCCUCCCUCUCGCGCCGUCAGGGAAGGGCCUCCGACGCGGACGCCAUGGGAGGUCCUCAGUGAGCUCGAGCAGCAGCAGUUCGCGGACUCCUCCGCUCCUUCGAUAGCACUAGGUGGACGCGGUGGCCGAGGAGAUCCCGUUCCCAUAGCAACCUGAUGGCUUCUUCCUCGACGUCCACGUUGUCUUCUUCCUCCCCUGCUGUCGGCGAACUCCUCUGCUUCGGAUCGACGCCCUCCUUCCUCUCCUGCACCGGUUCAUCAUCUAGGUUCUAGGUGAGCGUUCCCCGCUUCUUCCCCCUCUCUGGUAGCACGAGUAGGUGAACAAAGCGACGACUGUCCAGAGUAGUGCGUAGGAGCUCGAGCAGCAGCACCACCGUAGCUAGGUGGUCGUAGAUCCGGCGUAGCAGUGCUUCUAUCGGAGAGAUUAGGCCGGGAAUGGAAUCCAUGUGGUUCCUACUUCCCCCCCCNNNNNNNNNNNNNNNNNNNNNNNNNNNNNNNNNNNNNNNNNNNNNNNNNNNNNNNNNNNNNNNNNNNNNNNNNNNNNNNNNNNNNNNNNNNNNNNNNNNNCUGAACACCUACUUACGUCAAACAUAACCCCACCAUGUUCCCCAUCGAAGAGAGGUCUUCGAAGGAGACAGUCACGGUUACGCACACAGUUGGCAGUUUUAUUAGAGUUAGUUCAAGUUAUCAGGACCGGAUGUUAACAAAUUAUCCAUGCUUGCCACAUAACCGCAGGCACGACUUUCCGAAAGAUUAAACCCUGCAGGGGUGCUCCAACUAGUCCAUCAAAACGGUCACGAGCCGCAAAGUAAUCCUCUAUCACGAAUCUCGUGAUCUCGUCGGAUUCCUUAGAGGAAAACCUCAACUUUGAGGAGACCCAAAGUUUCAUCGGGAUUCCUAUACGCAAGAUAUAUCGCUAAGGUAAGACAAAUCUAGCAGGACCUCCCGACGUNNNNNNNNNNGGGAGACCGAAAGUUUCACCUGGAUUCCUAUACCCAAGAUAUAUCGCUAAGGUAAGACAAAUCUAGCAGGACCUCCCGACGUGUCGACGACCCCGAUAAGAGCCGCGUAUCUCAGUCUCAGGACACGCCGGAUAAGCGAAGCGUACGGUGGCCUGAUAGAAAUCUCCUGAGUUGCCCCGGGUUGGCCCCGCACGGUGCUCUGGUUUGGACCAACACUCAUGAGGAGCACUGGCCCGGGUUGUUGAUUAAAUCCUCGGGGUAGCUAUUCCCUAUGCAAAUUAUUAUUAGGUGAUUAGCAAAUUAAAACCAAUGUUGGGUCCUACCGGACAAGCCUUAACACUACACGAUUUAUCAAGGGGGACCCCAUAACAACCCCGAACGUGUUAGGAGCGAUCAGUUAUGGAAUCAANNNNNNNNNNAAUAAGAGCCGCGUAUCUCAGUCUCAGGACAUGCCGGAUAAGCGAAGCGUACGGUGGCCUGAUAGAAAUCUCCUCAGUUGCCCCGGGUUGGCCCCGCACGAUGCUCUGGUUUGGACCAACACUCAUGAGGAGCAUUGGCCCGGGUUGUUGAAUAAAUCCUCGGGGUAACUAUUCCCUAUGCAAAUUAUUAGUAGGUGAUUAUAAAAUUAAAACCAAUGUUGGGUCCUGCCGGACAAGCCUUAACACUACACGAUUUAUCAAGGGGGUCCCCAUAACAACCCCGAACGUGUUAGGAGCGAUCAGUUAUGGAAUCAAACACCGGUAGCCGAAACUAAGGUGGCAACAACGGAACAAGUCACCUGGCAAAAGGCUAGGCCUUCCGUCAUUUACCAAGUAUAUAGGUGCAUUAAUUAAAUAGAAGAUUAAUCAUAAUGAUAUCAAAAUACUCAUGUUAUCACAUGAGACAGCUGGCACCUGCAACUAACAAAACUAAUCAUUAGAAGUUGAGCAAGCCUACUUAGCCAAACAUUAGCUAGGAGGGGAAGGUGUUUUGGGUUUCAUGGCAUUAACAAGAGGCAUUUUAACAAGUGGUAGGCAGUGAGCAUAUAUCGAAGGAAACGUGAUUCUAAGCAUAACAAAGCUAGAUAUGGUAUCAAGGUCACGGUCAUCUUGCGUGUGAUGUCUUUAGCUUGGAACUGCUCUUGAUCGUCCUGCACGUACUCUCCAGAAUCCACGUACUCGCUCUCUGAUCCCGGUGCUACCCAAGAUAAAAAAACAGCCAAUGUACUCCAACACAACAUGAUGCAACAAAUAAUGUGAUGCAUGAGAUGAGAAGGAAGCAUGCCUCACUAUUCUAGUCACUUGCAUAUACAUGAGAUGAGAAGAUAAACUUCUGGACAGAACUUCACACUAAGCUAUCUUGACAUGCAUGAGGAUGGCAUGAAGAGGUGCAUCACGAGAAAACGAUGCAAAAACAUAUAAAGAACGUUGAGAACGGAGCUACGGAUCAACCGGAAACUACGAAACAAGAUAUGGAGUCCUACGGGUGAAAUCAAACACAAGAACACUCCAAUGGCACUCUUCUGGUGUUCCCAGGUUGCCACAUGAUCAAACAAACAAAUAUAAGUGGAGUGGUGCAAAGAAACUCACCACACCACCAACAAUACUCACACAAGCUUCAAAACAACUAAAACAUGCAAUCUGACCUAAACAACAUCAUAGCAGUUUGCCUACAACAUUCAAAGUACCUACAGCCACCUAAAUGAGCCAAACAAGAUAUGUGGCAAAAGACAUUCAAAAGCUCUACAAGCCUGAGCAAUAAGCUACUGAAAAGGCAUCACACGUAAGAAGAUCUAUGGACACAAACUUGGACAAAAAUAAUAGAUUUCUCGGACUUAGUGAAAAUCUCAGAUUUUCACUAGCUGCUUAUGCUCUGAAGCAUUUUGGCAGCCUCCAAAAUGAUAUCUACAGGAAGUGAAAGUGCAUGAAAUUUAACGGAGGGCUAGACAAACCCAAAAUCUCACAAACCUUAGUUUGUUGCAUGGGUUGAUUCCCAAUACAUGAGCUUGUGCAACCACAUCAACAAGGGAAGAAAAUAACAGCAGUUUCUCAGAUUUUCACAAAGCUGACAAUUUCAGCCAAGUGUCAACUUUGACAANNNNNNNNNNNNNNNNNNNNNNNNNNNNNNNNNNNNNNNNNNNNNNNNNNNNNNNNNNNNNNNNNNNNNNNNNNNNNNNNNNNNNNNNNNNNNNNNNNNNGGCAUAAGAACCUUGGUUUGCUCAUGAAUAUUAUAUACUUAGCUUGUUUUCCUCUAAAAUGACAUAAUUAGCCCAUUUAGCUCCAAAAUGGCCUAUUUAAUAAAACAAUGACCUAUACUUACCUAAGUUCUCUUCUAAAUGACAUAAUAAGGCUAUGUAGCUCCAAGAUGACCUAUUCCACCUAACUUAGCUAUUAAAUGGCCUAUAAUUAGCUUAGCUAGCUCGCAAAUGGCUUAAUAAUCAUAGUUGGCUCCAAAAUGACAUAUUUUACCCAAGUUAGCUCUAGAAUGGCCUAUACUUUGCUUGGCUUCCACCUAAAUGACAUAAUUAGCUUAAUUAGCUCCAAAAUGGCCUAUUUAAUAAAAAAUGACCAAUACUUACCUAAGUUCUCUUCUAAAUGACAUAAUAAGGCUAUGUAGCUCCAAUAUGACCUAUUGCACCUAACUUAGCUAUUAAAGGCGUGUUCAGAGUCCCUCCACUCCACCACUCCGCUCCAGGAGCGGGUGGAGCUGAAGUUCAAAACUGUGGAGCGGGUCAAUAGACACUCCGUGGAUCCUUGAAUUCGAGGGAGCCGGUUGAUUGCCGAACAACCCCUAAAUGGCCUAUAAUUAGCUUAGCUAGCUCCAAAAUGGCUUACUAAUCAUAGUUGGCUCCAAAAUGACAUAUUUUAUCCAAGUUAGCUCUAGAAUGGCCUAUACUUAGCUAAGUUCUCUCCUAAAUGACAUAAUAAGUCUAUGUAGCUCCAAGAUGACCUAUUCCACCUAACUUAGAUAUUAAAUGGCCUAUAAUUAGCUUAGCUAGCUCCAAAAUGGAUUAAUAAGCAUAGUUGGCUCCAAAAUGACAUAUUUUUUCCCAAGUAGCUCCAAAAUGACAUAUACUUAGCUAAGUUCUCUCCUAAUGACAUAAUAAGGCUAUGCAGCUCCAAGAUGACUUAUUCCCCCUAACUUAGCUAAGUUCUCUCUGAAAUGACCUAUACUUUUCUUCUUCAUCUAGUCUUCUUCUUCUAACUUUUUAUUUGCCAUUUUGUAGAUUACAUUCACUUCACGGGAAGCUUGGAUUAUAUUGAUGGAGUGCUUGAAUAUGGUUGAUUCUACCAUGGCUUCACGGAAGCUUGGAUUGAAACUAUUGUAGUAUAUGGAUAUAUAUGUAACUUUGAAUGCAUGGAUGAAACUAUUGUAAUAUAUGGUUUGGUACGGAUGCAACUUGCAUAAUAUGUAUGUAUUAUGGAUGAAAGUUAUUUUAAUAUGGUUAUGAGUAUGGAAACAAAAUUAUUUCUGUCAAAUAUAUAUAUAUCCUGAUUAUUGUGAAAAUUAUUCCUGAUUUGUGUGAAAAUUGCUGGAUAUUAUAGAAAAUAAAAUAAACAGGGUUUGUUUUGAGCCUUUGUCGUCCGCCCACCAAUGGCAAAGGGCAUGCAGCAGAGGGAAAAGGCUCAAACAUGCGUGGGAUGAAACAUGCUGGGGUGCCCCUUUGCCGUUGGCCUGAGACAUGGCUGACGACAAAAGAGGAGGGCAGACGACAAAGGUGAGGGAGAGAGGGGCUGGGUGCCCCCCUUUGCCGUCGGCCUCAAACAUGGCUGACGACAAAGGGGGGGGGGUAGGGAAGACGACAAAGGUGGGGUAGGGCAGAUGACAAAGGGGGGGUAGGCCUAGCAGGCUGCCGUUAGCACUUAACGGGAGCGAUUGCGAAUCUGCCAUCCCAUUUUGUUUGCCAUUAGCCCCACCAUGGCAAAGAUUCUUUGUAGUCCGCCUUCCAAAGGCACACGACAAAGAACCUCUUUGCCGGAUAAAUCUUUGCCGUCUAGUUUGCCGUCCGGGGCGCCCCCCUUUGCCGUCUGCCCUGCCGGACGACAAAGUUUCUAAUCCCUGUAGUGCACAUAGCUACUGUAGAAGAUCUCAGCCCCGAGGAGGAACUACUCCCGCUUCAUGGAGGGAGGAAGCAACAUCGACGGAGAUGAAUCCCGGGGCACUUCCCUGUCCCGGCAGGGUGCCGGCACAGGAAUUCUGGUCCCCCGAAACUUGUUGACGAUGGCGGCGGAUAUUGGAAUUGCUUUUGGCGAAAAGGGUUCCAGAAUCAGCAUUUCCUCCACGGGGGUAAAAGUAGGAGCCGAGGUAGGGUUCCAGAGGAGGUGGGCCCCACCCAAGCGGCCUGUGGGCGCGACCAGGGGGUAGGCCGUGCAGGGAGGCCGCCUGGGCGACGCCUGGCUCCCCUCUAGCGAACCUUUGGUGCUCUCGAAGCUUCUGUCACGCUGAUUUUUAUAUAUUUUUCUUGGGAUUUUUGGGACUCGGUAAAUUGGGGUAAAAGUCCGUGCAAAAAAAGACAUCAGCAGACAAAAACUAGCACUAGGUGCACUGAGUUACUAGGUUUGUCCAAAUAUGUGUCAAAAGGUAUGAAAGUGUACAAAACACAUAGCAAUAUCACCCAAAACUUGCAUGGAGCAAGCAGAAAUUAUAGAUACGCUUGGGACGUAUCAACAUCCCCAAGCUUAAUUCCUACUCGUCCUCGAGUAGGUAAAUGAUAACAAGCAUAAUUUAUGUGGUGACAUGCUAACACACAUAUAAGAACUUCAAAGUAAAGCAAGCAAGAUAUGAAAUUCAAGUCAAGACAAUAACAAGCAAGAGUCUAUAUCUAGUAUUGAAACUAGCAAAGUAAGAACAUAAAGGUGCAAGAGCUCUCGCUGUCCGUGACUCGAAUGUCUCCAAAUGGUGUUUGCGUGCAAGAAGCGGGAGAUAGGUUUAGAGCAUAAAAAUAGUAUUUAAUUGAGAACUCAAUCUACUAAAACUUUACACUUGGUCUCCUUCAGAAUCUUAUUUUGACUCAUCGCCAGACCACUAGUCAGGCACAAGUCAAAAUGAUCCUCUCCCUUUCGACUUUGAGCACUCAUACAAUGGAUGAGCGCAAUCAAGAUAUGUUGGCACUUAGGAUGGAAAAUAGAAUAAUGAUGGGGAAGGACGACAAAUAGGUGUGAAAGGCUCACAUCAAUGAGGACAACCAUAGGCGAGAGAAGGCCAAAUGAUAGAUAUGAUGUGAGGAGUAGGGAUUGCCAUGCAACGGAUGCAUGAAUGAUAAUCUCUAUGUAGUACAAAUAUAACAAUGGAGUACGAGUGUGGAUCUUUCAAAAGGAAUAGUAGUGUUGCCCCCUUCUCUCUUUUUAUUUCUUUUUCUUUUUUUCUUUUUUUGUGUGGCCUCUUUGGUGCUUUAUAUAAUUCUCUCAUUUGUCGUCUUUGGGAUCUUUUCAUUUGUCCUCUUUGGGAUCUUUUCCUCACUUAAGGGCAACACUCUAUGUUUUACAAGAAUAAAAAGAAGAUCAUCACACUUUAUAAGAAGUACUCAACAUAAAGACAAAUGAAAACUAUCAUGAUGUAUGCAAAUGUAUGCCUCUACCAGUGUAGGAGGAUAUGCAAUGAUACUAGCACGUCAUGCAGCAAUAAUAAGGACAAGGACCAACUAGCAUGCGGCUCCUCGAUCAAGCAAAAGCAUGUAUGACAUGAAGAUCAAGUCAUGAGAUGGUGGAUGUUGCAUGGCAAUGUAUCUCGGAAAGGCUAUGGAAAUGCCUUAAUAGGUAGGUAUGGUGGCUAUUUUGAGGAAAGAUAUAAUGAGGCUUAUGAUGACAGAGUUUAUCAUGUCAAGGGUUUGGAUGAACCGGCGAAGUUUGCACCAACUCUCAAGAUGAGAAAGGGAAAUGCAUGGUACCGAAGAGGCUAGGGAUGGUGGAAGUUGNNNNNNNNNNNNNNNNNNNNNNNNNNNNNNNNNNNNNNNNNNNNNNNNNNNNNNNNNNNNNNNNNNNNNNNNNNNNNNNNNNNNNNNNNNNNNNNNNNNNCUUGAAACCCAAAGUAGUAAUUUCAUCACUACUCAAAGUUUUGAUAUCCUCUACUCCGCUUUCAAUGCUUCUAGCAUCAAGGUAGAUAGACUCCGAAUCAUUGGGGCGUUUUCCAACCAAAGUGGAUUCAUAUCCAGCCCCAUCAUCAUUAGGUUUAACAUUAGAAAACAAGGAUUCAAUGGGAGUCACACCAAGCACUUUAAGAUCUUUGUGAUUCUCAUCAUGAGAACACACCUUUUCAAGCCAUUCAUGUCUAGCACGAAUUUGGGCGGUUCUUUCUUUACUCUCAUUCAUGAAACACGCAUAGCUUUGAAAGUUUCAUCCAUAUUAAUCUUGGGAGGAGCACAUCUCAAUUUCAAAGCAUCAAUAUCAAGAGACAUUAUAUCAACGGUCCUAGCCAAGUCAUCAAUUUUGAGCAGUUUUUCUUCUAUGGACGCAUUGAAAAUCUUUUGCGAGUUGAUAAUCUCUUUAAUAUUACUCUCAAGAUCAUAGGUUAAUUUAUUGUAAUUUCCAUGAGCAUUGUUGUAGGAAUUGCCAAAGUUAUUAGAAGGAUUACUAGGAAAAGGCCUAGGAAUAAAGUUACCUCUAUAAGCAUUGUUGUUGCCAAAAUCAUUCCUACCAACAAAAUUAACAUCCAAGCUCUCAUUGCUAUUCUCAAUCAAGGAAGACAAAGGUAUAUCAUUUGGAUCUAGACGAGCACCUUUACUAGCAAACAAUUUCAUUAACUCAUCCAUCUUAGAACUCAAAGAGUUAAUUUCUUCUAUAUCACGCAUUUUUUUACUAGUAGGUGACCUUUCAGUGUGCCAUUGAGAAUAGUUUGUCAUGAUAUUGUCUAGGAGUUUUGUGGCUUCUCCUAAUGUGAUUUCCAUGAAGGUUCCACCGGAGGCGGAAUCCAAGAUAUUUCUAGAAGCAAAAUUCAAACCAGCAUAGAAGAUUUUUAUAAUCAUCCAAAGACUCAAGCCAUGAGCGGGACAAUUUCUAAUCAUCAAUUUCAUCCUCUCCCAAGAUUGUGCAACAUGUUUAUGAUCUAGUUGCUUAAAAUUCAUGAUAUCAUUAUGGAGAGAGAUAAUCUUAGCCGGUGGAAAAUACUUGGAUAUAUAAGCAUCUUUACACUUGUUCCAAGAAUCAAUGCUAUUUUUGGGUAAAGAUGAAAACCAAAUUUUUGCUCGAUCUCGUAAUGAGAACGGAAAUAACUUCAAUUUAAUCACAUAAUUAUCCACAUCUUUCUUCUUUAGUGGCAGGAGCAAUCGGAGUACUAAUAAAAUCAUUAUUAUUAGUAUUCGAGAAGUCACACAAUUUGGUGUUUUCAGUCAUGGUGACUUCAGCAAGCAGACAAGCACACAAGCGAACAGAAAGCAAGCGAAAGAAAAGGCGAACGAAAAAGGCAAAUAUUUUUGUAUUUUUUUUUCAGAAGUGGGGGAGAGGAAAACGAGAGGCAAAAGGCAAAAAAGUAAAUGCAAGAGAUGAGUUUGUGAUAGUUACUUGGAUGAGCUUCACUUAGAAUAAUCCCCGGUGCCAGAAAUUGACAUGUUGAAGGGAGACUAUUCUUGACUUGAUACUCCCCGGCAACGGCGCCAGAAGUUCUUCUUGCUACCUCUUGAGCUUGCGUUGGUUUUUUCCCUUGAAGAGGAAAGGUUAUGCAUCACAGUAGCAGUAAGUAUUUCCCUCAGUUUGAGAACCAAGGUAUCAAUCCAGUAGGAGUAUCAAGACAAGUCACCAAUGUACCUGCGCAAAAACAAACAAACUUGCACCCAACGCUAUAAAGGGGUUGUCAAUCCCUUCACGAUUAAUUGCAAGGUGAGAUCUGAAGGUGGAAAGUGCAACAAAGUAAAAGUGUAGAGCUGAAAUUAUGAUGUGAACUAGACCCGGGGGCCAUAGUGUUCACUAGAGGCUUCUCUCAUGAUAGCAAGUAUUACGGUGGGUGAACGAAUUACUGUCGAGCAAUUGAUAGAACCGCGCAAAGUCAUGACAAUAUCUAAGGCAAUGAUCAUACAUAUAGGCAUCACGUCUGAGACAAGUAGACCGAUACUGUCUGCAUCUACUACUAUUACUCCACACAUCAACCGCUAUCCAGCAUGCAUCUAGUGUAUUGAGUUCAUAACGAACAGAGUAACGCCUUAAGCAAGAUGACAUGAUGUAGAGGGAUAAAUUCAUGCAAUAGUUAUAAACCCCAUAUUUUUACCCUUGAUGGCAACAACAUGAUGUGUGCCUCGCUACCCCUUCUGUCAAUGGGUGAGGACACCGCACGGUAUGAACCCAAAACCAAGCACUUCUCCCAUUGCAAGAAUUAUAGAUCAAGUUGGCCAAACGAAACCCACAACUCGAAGAGAAUUACAAGGAUACGAAAUCAUGCAUAUAAGAGAUGAGAGGAAACUCAAAUAAUAUUCAUAGAUAAUCUGAUCAUAAAUCCACAAUUCAUCGGAUCUCGACAAACACACCGCAACAGAAGGUUACACCGGAUAGAUCUCCAUGAAGAUCAUGGAGAACUUUGUAUUGAAGAUCCAAGAGAGAGAAGAAGCCAUCUAGCUACUAGCUAUGGACCCGAAGGUCUGCGGUGAACUACUCACGCAUCAUUGGAGAGGCAAUGGUGUUGAUGAAGAAGCCCUCCAUGUCUGAAUCCCCCCUCGGCAGGGCACCAGAACGUGCCCCAGAUGGGAUCUUGCGGAGAGAGAAGCUUGCGGCUGCAGGAAAAGUAUUUUCGUGGCUCUCUCUGGCAGUUUUGGAUUUUUAGGGAAUUUAUAGGCGGAAGAAGUAGGGCAAAGGAGCCAUGGGGGGCCCACAAGCCUGGUAGGCGCCCCCCAGGCCAUGGCUAGGGGGCUUGUCGCCUCCCCUAGAAUCCUUUGCCUUGGUUCUCAAGUUCCUUGCGUAUCUUGUGUUACGGAAAAAAUCUUUCCGAAGGUUUUAUUCCGUUUGGGUUCCGUUUAAUAUUCUUCUGUGAAAAGGGUCAAAACCAUGGAAAAAACAGGAACUGGCACUUGGCACUGAGUUAAUAGGUUAGUCCCAAAAAAGAUAUAAGAUAGCAUAAUCAUGCAAACAAAACAUCCAAAGUUGACAAGAUAAUAGCAUGGAACCAUAAACAAUUAUAGAUAUGUUGGAGACGUAUCAGGGGGUUUAGGUGUGUCCACAGCCCUCCCAACCCUCCUUUAUUUAUAGGAGGAAGGGUUGAGGGGGUCGUACACCCUAAUAAACCCUAGGAGGGGGCGGCGGCGGCCCUAGGGGUGGCUUGCCUCCCAAGUUGGACCACUACAAGGAAUAUGCUAAUACACGACGCUAUUUUUUCGUCGCUACAUCAUCACGGUUUUUAAUUUACGACGAUCUCACGACGAAAAACCAAGCGUCGAAAACGGAGCGUCACAAAUGGACAACAGCGAUGUUUUGAUCAAAAUCGUCGUAACCUUUACGACAAUUCCUGGAUUGUCGUAACCUUUACGACGAUCCUAAAUCGUCGUUGGCAAUCAAACCCAGUCCUACGUGGCAGUCCUAGGUGGCAAAAUUACGACGAAAUCAAAACGUCAUGGUUGAAAUCAGCCCAACCCAUUUCAAUUGAUCACAUGGGCUGGUUUUUUUGGGGGCUUUUUCUUAUUGGGCCUUAGCCUAUUUACAGCCACUUUAGUAAUCAUUUUUGGGCCCUAGCCUUUUAGUGUCCAAAUACAUUUGAUCCAAUUUCAGUUUUGGCCUUUUUUUCAUUUUUAAAUUCAGCAACUUUUUUUAUUUUAUGUUGUUAAUGAAUCUAUGAAUAACAGCCCAGUCAUGUGAAUUUUCAGAAAACAUUUUGACAGCAUAAUGCGUUGAAAGAAUCCAAACCAACAAGAAUGAUGCAAUGUUGUUGUUCAUUUCAAAACUGAUUCGUGCACUCCAAGUGCAAGUGAGUCAAUACAUUCACUAGAUUAAACUUUCCAUGUCACCAUCCUACCACAACAUUUCCACAACACCCCAAACUAAAAAAAUUACUCGCUCAUGGAUGAAUUUAACAGCCACUACUACUCGCUGCUGGCCCUUCCUUGCUUGUCUUGUCAUUCUUCCACAACGCAGGCAUCGACUCGCCAAGACAGGCCUUCCUUCCUUCCGUGCAUUGAAUACAAAAGGAGCUCAGAUAUAGCACCCAGUAGAACGCCAAGCCAUCAUCAGACACUUCACACCAUACGUCUUUAUCAAACACUUCACACCAUACGACACCCAGUCGUCCAACUACAACCAAGUGGCACUACAAGCUCCAUCCAUCGGGUCUUCUCGCCUUUGCAAUAUCAAACUUUCUGAUGACCUGGGCAGGGAGACACACACACACAUAGAGAUAACAAGAUUAACCGGUGGCCUCAAGAACCCAUAAAGGACAAACAAGCCAUAGAGCCAAAGCAACAUAAAUUUGUAGAACAACAAAAAGAACAAUAUGUGUUGCAUGUAUUUUAUACCAGGAAAAGGAACAACAGCCUAAAAGCCUACAUAUGCACUACAUUGGCUGAUAGCCGCACAACAAAAAAAUUAUCAAGCUGCAACUAUGAUACUCUCUUGGUUGCAACUAGCCUGGCCAGUGUCGGAUCACGUUGGGACAGUGUCUAACCAUUUUGUUACUUUGUGCAAGUGGCACUACAGAAAAAAUAUAUUAUAAGUUGGGGUGUAUCUAAAUGUAAGCCAGUCCUCAUACUUGUAAGCCCGGUAUGAAAGGAAGAAACCACAUUAAACAAAGUGACCUACUUGAUUUUCUUAUAGGUUGCUUGCAUGGAAUUUUCGUGUGAAAAAUCACAGCGAAAUACAUAUGCACGAAUCUCGUCAUUGUGUGUAACCGUGAACCUUUUUUUAAUUACAAUAAAGGGGCCGUAUGCAUCGUGCUGAUGCAGAGGCCGGAGGUAACCCUCUUUUUCUAAAAAAAAACUACAUUCAGAUCAACAUGCAUGCAUGCACGGUGAAAUGCAAAUAUAAACUCAGGUAUUUGUUCUGCUGAAGAAUCGAGCAAGACAAGUUCUCCAACAAAAAAACAAGUUCAACUAAGAGUGUCGUGGGUAUAAGCCUGACAGUAGAUGUGUAGGGUACGAAAGGAUGGGCAGAGCCUUAGCUACGACGAGGUUGUAUGAGUUCAGGCCCCUCUGCGGUGGAGGUAAUAGCCCUACGUCUCAGUGCUCUGGGAGNNNNNNNNNNNNNNNNNNNNNNNNNNNNNNNNNNNNNNNNNNNNNNNNNNNNNNNNNNNNNNNNNNNNNNNNNNNNNNNNNNNNNNNNNNNNNNNNNNNNNNNNNNNNNNNNNNNNNNNNNNNNNNNNNNNNNNNNNNNNNNNNNNNNNNNNNNNNNNNNNNNNNNNNNNNNNNNNNNNNNNNNNNNNNNNNNNNNNNNNNNNNNNNNNNNNNNNNNNNNNNNNNNNNNNNNNNNNNNNNNNNNNNNNNNNNNNNNNNNNNNNNNNNNNNNNNNNNNNNNNNNNNNNNNNNNNNNNNNNNNNNNNNNNNNNNNNNNNNNNNNNNNNNNNNNNNNNNNNNNNNNNNNNNNNNNNNNNNNNNNNNNNNNNNNNNNNNNNNNNNNNNNNNNNNNNNNNNNNNNNNNNNNNNNNNNNNNNNNGCCUACGUUACAGGUAACAUAAGUCUUAAAUGCUAAUAAAGGCACGGGGAAACGUAUGACCGUUUCCCUCCAGGGGGUUACGAGGCUCAGAGUGGAGUCCAGACGGUUAGUUUGAUACGCUCCGAAUGCUAGUCUCCGACUAGAUGGUCGAAGACCUGUUACCGACUGGAUGAUGGGAACUCCUUAGUUCAGUCGGAACUGACUAAGGGACUUGUCCCUUAUGAGAGGUAGUCCUUGGGUAGGACCUACAGGGCAGGCCUAUGACCCUACCAUAGGACUAUAACCCCAUCAUUAGUCCCCGAAUGGAUUGGGAUUGGAACGACGAAGCGAUGCUUGAAGUUUGGAUCCGACUGAUACGGAUGUGACUUUGGCGUUGCCUGCCUCAAUCCAUUUUAUCUUUUCUGACCAACGAUCCGAGUGGAAGUAUUUGUGAAACAAACUGUCGGAAACCGAGUGCUUCCGUGGCAUCUUCUGACGUGACCAGUCAACUGACAGCGGCGGAUUUUCCGGGAUCCUCAAAUUUCGGUUACCGCACGCUCAGCGGGGAUGACGACAUCGCGCUCGAGUAGCGCCUGACGCCUCGAUUCCCGCGCCUUCAUCUUCUCCACUGAUAUCGCCGCGGUCGGUCGGUGGAUAAGAUUUCGGGGCCACUUGCCAGUGACCCAGUCGGAACCUUACUUAAAUCCCAGCGGCGAGGGUUUUUUCGUUACGCUUGUCGGACAUCUCGCCUUUGCUCCGCUUCCUUCGCCAUCCUCUGCGCAUCCUAAGCUUCUUCCUUCUCCUUCUCCCUCGCGAAUCCGUAGCUUCCGCCAUGACAAAGGGGCAGACUAGCAAGCUAGAGGCGCGGAAGAAGAGGGGGAAGGUGGCGGCUCCUGCGCGGAAGCAGCGAACGCUACCGGCGGGGUGGAUCCAGGGGGACUUCCUCCCCUCCACUGUGAUGGAAGAGGACCUGCUGGAGCUGGUGGAGCACGGGCUGAUCGUGCACAAGUCGUGGAGGCUGUCGGCGGAGGGUGAGACCGAGCCGGCGCCCCGGGAGGGGGAGCGCGUCCUGCUGCUCAGCCACAUGCAUUGAGGUUUCUCCUUGCCCCCGCAUCCUUUCUUCAAAGGCAUAAUGAAUCACUUCGGGGCCCAGCUCCACCACUUUCCCCCGAAUGCCAUAGCCCAUCUCUCUGCUUUCGUAGUCUUGUGCGAGUGCUUCAUCGGUUGUCCUCCCCAUUGGGGGCUUUUCAAACAUAUCUUCUCUGCUAGAUCCCAAACUAUCAAACGACUUAAUCAGUCGGAUGAUAAGACUCACCUUCUCUAGCUCUGCGGAGGCUUAGGCUUCCAAAAGAAGAGCAAAGGUAGUUAUCCUGCUCUUCAGCUGAGUGAAUCGGUUAGGAACUGGCAGUCGACAUGGUUCUACUGCCAGGACAUUGCCAGCCCGAAUGCCACGACAGGGUUGCCCCCUUUUAGCUUAGAUCGACCAGCUCCGCCUAAGCAGCUCGCGCUCACGAAGGCGGAGAAGGUCGAAAUCUAGCCUCUGGUCGACGCACUCGUAGAUGUCGUCAGGAAGGGAGUCACCGGUACAGACUUGGUCGAGGUUUUCCUCGGUCGGCGCAUCCAACCACUUCAGGCCCGACACCACGCCAUGUGGCACUACACGGGGCCCGAAGACUCCACUCGGACCAACGUCGUGUGCGUGACCGGGGAGAUGGUGGCGUCGUGGGUGCUCCAGAUCACAGGUGCCUGUGAGAACCCCAGAGGGUCCCGGCGAGUGAGGGCUUUCUGCGCGGACAAUCCUCCUUCGAACCAGGUGAGUACAACUUGUCGAGUGCACAUAACUGUCUUAGUUUUAUCUCUUUCUUGAAUCUCUGUCUGGCGUCUGAUGUCGUCGACUGUAUUUUAUGCAGGUGGACCAACUGGUUCUCCCCUGUCUCGAACGGGAACCCGGCCGGGGAGGAGGAAGAGGACAGCCAGGAGGGCAGCGUGGAGAGUGUCGAGUACGUCUCCGACGGUGGGGAGAUGGAGGAGGAGUCUGGUGAGGAGGAGGAGGAAGACGAAGAGCAGGACUCGCCACCCUCGUCGCCAGAGCAUCGAACCAAGCGCCGACAUGAACCUGCAGCUCCCUCAGCCCCUCCAGCAUCCUCAAGUGCUCCGCCAACUGCUCCUACGGUUCCGAGUGCCCCGUCAACUGUCCCCAGGGUUCCGAGUGCUCGGAGCACCAAGAGGACCAGGGACGCUGCUGCUGAGCCUGCGGGUCAGCCUUCCAAGGUGGCCAAACCAAGCGGAUCUAAACCUCGGAAGGCUUUGCCGCGGAUGAGGGUCGCCGUUCCCGUCACCUCAACGUAAGUGCCUUGUUCUUCUAACUUCUUCUGAUAUUCGAUUGGACUCCUGUUUAUUGUUCGAAUGAAUUUCACUCGACAGAGUUUCUACCUCUGCCACCUCUCCGGCACGCCAGGGGGAUGAUCCCAUGGACGUGGACAAUGUCGUCUCGUCCCAGCCAGGUGCGUCGUAGCGAUUCCGAGAGUUUACAUUAUCGCAUCACGAAUUCUGUCUUCGGUCUUGCCCUUUUUCUUUCUGUGGUCUCACGCCAUUCGGUCGGGUUUCUCUCAGGGGCGAUUUAUGUGGAUGAGGGUGACCAGGGAAGGUCUGAGCAAGCUGCGGUGCCUGUCCUUGAGGCUGUUCCGCCAGUUACUGUUCUCACCGCGGACAUGCCGCCGACUGAGGCGAUGUCGUUGACUGAAACGGCGCUGGUUGCUGCCGAAUCGACUGGAGCGGGCCUUUGGAUGCCUAAGGAGCCUCCAAUGAUGCCAGGCCCGUAGAACGUCGAGUACAACGUCCAGCGCCUCCUAGAAGACCAGGUGGGAGCGGCCAAGGGGGCCAUGGUACAGGCGGAGCUAAUGGCGGGAGAAGCCAAGAAGGCGUACGACUCCAUCGCGUCCCUGUACCAGCGAAGCUUGGAACUGCGGGACGAUAUUCGAGUAAGUGGGCUAGUAAGUAUUUACUUUUCUCUUGUAACCCACUGGGUGUGCUCGGAUAUCGUAUGAUUUUUGCAAUGGGUUCACUCUUAGUGAACCCAGUGGGUGUAGUCCCCGAGACUUCUGUCGAGUGCUUGCACCGGCAGUUGUCUUUAUACACACUGUCUGUGACUUGAUCAGAUCACAAAUUAAUCUGUUGGAAUGUUAACAGUUGGUGCACUCGGAGUGCACCUAUUGGAUGAGUCUCCGAGAGUAAUUUUACUCAGGUCGGGUAGUAGUAGCCUCAUAGGCUUAGGUGUUAUCAUGUAUCUCAAUAGGGCGGACCUGUUUGAGUUUCAUGCCAGUGGAGUCACUCUCAGUGAACCCACUGGGUGUAGUCCCCGAGACCGCUGUUGACUGCUUGCGUCGUCAGGGGUCUGAAGAACUUAGACUUUUUAUUGUUGGAUUUGUCUGAUCGUCUCCUGGCGCUGGCUGGCAGAAAACUUGCGAGAUGGGGACGGCGUACGAGACUCUCAGGGCUGAAAAGGUUCAGUUUGCCGGUGAGCUAGAUGCGGCACUGGUUGCAAUGGCUGGUAUGAAGGAUGUUCUGGCGGAACGAGAGAAGUCCUUGGAGCAGGCCCGUGAAGCAAAAAAGGCAUUGACUGCUGAAGUGGAGAAAAUGAAGGCGCAUAGGUCCGAGCUGAUGGGGCAAAUGAAUGUGCUGAACAAGCGGUGUAUAGCACAGGAAAAUACGUCAGUGACUCGGCCCGGCAGAUGAUAACGCGUCUGGGUGGUAAGUCUUGUUUUUUCGAGUGCUUGUGGUAUGUGCAUUUCACUCGGCGCUUAUUGUUUGCUCGUCCUGUGUUUGUAGAUUUUUGCAUAGAUGUUGAGGCUGAAGCAGCUGACGUGGAGCGGUCGAUUCGUGAGAACAUUCCACUCGGCGAGGACGCCAAUCGAGAUCUGCUCCGAGCGCACAUUCGCGUGGGCAAAGUUGGGCCUUUCAUCGGUCGACUGAGAGAAGUCGUCGGCCGGAUCGACAAGGAGCUUUGGCCUGAGGACAAGUCUCGGCAUGAGAUGGAAGGCUUGAUGACUCGGCUGGAGGAGUGCAGUCAUGGAAGAAGUAUGCGUCUCGCUGUGGUGCGGACGUUGCUUUGUCUCUUGUCCGAGUGCAUUGCAAGGAGGUGCGCGAAGAGAAGCUGAAAGCGUUGCAGGUCGCCAACACGAAGAAACUUCGGUUCGAAGACUUCAUGGAAACCUUCCUUGAGAGCGCCACCCGCAUCGCCGACGGGAUCGAUCUGGACACAUUCGUAGAGCCCGCCAGUCCUAGCGCCAGUCCGGACGACGCUUAAGAAAACUUUUUACCUCGGUAUGCCGAGUGUUGGUUGUAAGAAACUUUGGCCACUGCUGUUGGCCGUCACAUUCUUGGCUCGGUGCGGGUAAGCUUGAUCCACACCGAGCCAACUAUCUUUAGGCGAACUUUGAAUUUGAAUCAAAUCUUUUGCUCUUCUGUUGCCAAAGAGUUGUUGAUACGAUUUUGGCUCGAGUUUUUGUUUGGCAUUUCUUGGUGAAGCCAAUGGCAAACAUGCGGAGCAUGUAAUUGUCAGUUGUCUUGACAUCUGCAUGAGCCUCCCUGAGGGUCUGCUGAUUCUCCGAGUGGAUCUGUAGGAUACACUCGAAGGCAAUAGAGUACUUAGGCGAUUCAUGAUCGCGGCUAAGUCUUCGAGUGCGAAUGUGAGGGCGCACUCGGAUUGAUUUGUUACUCAUGUAAUUGUCAGUGGUCUUGACAUCCACAUGAGCCUCAAUGAGGGUCUGCUACUCAUGUAAUUGUCAGUGGUCUUGACAUCCACAUGAGCCUCAAUGAGGGUCUACUGAGUCCCCGAGUGUAUCUGUAGGAUACAGUCGCAGGAAGCUUUCUCAUUGAAGCGAUUCUUUAUCGCAGUGAAGUCUUCGAGUGUGACGAGUAGUGCACGCUCGGAGAAAAUUUGUACUGAGGCGAUUCUUGAUCACAGCUCAGUCUCCGAGUGCGACGUUUAGUGAACACUCGGAGAAAGUUAUUACUUAGGCGAUUCUUGAUCGCAGCUAAGUCUCCGAGUGCGACGUGAAGUGCACACUCGGAGGAAGUCAGUACUUAGGCGAUUCUGGAUCGCAGCUAAGUUUUUUUUUUGAGACCGGAGUCUGCGACCGCGGAAGAAUUUUGAAUCUGCAAAAGCUCAAUCUGCUUUAUAUUAUUUUACCAAUAGUUGUUCUUUACAUUGCUUCAGUCGACGGUCACGUGUAGAAGCGCUUCAGUAGAUCUCCGUUCCAUGCUCGCGGUUCGUCUGUCUCCCUAUCGAUGUUGUAGAGUCUGUAUGCUCUGUUGUACAGCACCUUGGAGAUGAUGAAGGGUCCUUCCCAGGCAGGAGCCAACUUGUGAGGUCUUUGCCGAUCCACUCGGAGCACCAGGUCGCCUGCUUGGAAUGUGCGACUCCUGGCGUGUUGUGCGUGAAAACGCCGCAGAUCUUGUUGAUAAAUGGUUGAGCGAGUUAGUGCCAUCUCGCGCUCCUCCUCUAGAAGGUCCACUCCGUCUUGUCUUGCUUGUUCUGCUUCAGCUUCAGAGAAGAGUUCGACUCGUGGAGCAUUGUGAAGCAAGUCACUCGGAAGGACUGCUUGUGCUCCGUAAACGAGGAAGAACGGUGAUCACCCUGUAGAUCUGUUCGGGGUUGUGUGAAGACCCCAAAGAACUGAAGGUAGCUCGGUGACCCAUGCGCCAGCGGCAUGUCCCACCUCUCGCAGGAGUCGGGGCUUCAAACCUUGCAGAAUAAGUCCAUUCGCCCGCUCUGCUUGUCCGUUUGAUUGAGGAUGCACCACGGAUGCAAAAUCCACUCGGAUACCUUGGCUUGCACAGAAACCUUUGAAUCUGUCCGAGUCAAAGUUUGUCCCGUUGUCCGUGAUUAUGCUGUGAGGUACACCGAAUCUGGAGAUGAUGUCCCUGACAAACUUGAUGGUUGUUAGGGCGUCGAGCUUCUUGAUGGGCUCGGCUUCAAUCCAUUUUGUGAACUUGUCGACUGCCACCAACAGAUGUGUGUAUCCUCCUUGGCCUGUCCUGAAUGGACCGACUGUAUCUAAUCCCCAUACUGCAAACGGCCACACAAGAGGGAUUGUCUUCAACGCAGAUGUUGGCUUGUGGGACUUGUUGGAGUAGAACUAACAGCCUUCACAUUGGUCGACCAUAUCUUUAGCCAUUUCGUUUGCGUGCAGCCAGAAGAAACCAGCUCUGAAUGCUUUGGCGACGAUUGCUCUCGAAGAGGCGUGAUGACCGCAGGUUCCCGAGUGAAUUCUUCCAGGAUUAACUGUCCCUCCUCUGGGGAGAUGCAUCGUUGAAGAACGCAUGAAACGCUUUCCUCGUACAACUGGCCAUCAAUGACAGUGAACGACUUCGACCUGCGGACUAUCUGCCUGGCCUGGACUUCGUCUUCUGGUAAUUCCUGCCUCAGGAUAUAUGCAAUGAUCGGCACAGUCCAAUCGGGGAUGACAGCAAGAAUCUCCAUGAUCAGAUCAACAACAGUAGGUACAUCGACUUCAGUUGGAUCUGUCAAACUCUUUGGUUGUAUUGGUUCCUCUGUGAAAGGAUCUUCUUUGACUGAGGGAAGGUGGAGGUGCUCGAGGCAGACGUCACUCGGGACUGGUCUCCGAGUGGAUCCGAGUUUUGCCAACUCAUCAGCUGCUUGGUUCUUCAGUCGCGGAACAUGGUGGAGUUCUAGACCUUCAAACUUCUUCUCGAGCUUCCUCACUGCAUUGCAGUAUGUGGUCAUGGUGGGGUUCCUGACGUCCCACUCUUUCAUCACUUGAUUAACCACCAAAUCCGAAUCGCCAUAGACCAUCAGGCGACGGACGCCGAGUGCGAUGGCCAUGCACAGUCCAUAAAGGAGAGCUUCAUACUCUGCCUCAUUGUUGGAGGAAUCAAAGUGUAUCUGCAGCACAUAUUUGAGUUUGUCGCCCUUUGGCGAUACGAUCACAACGCCAGCGCCGGAGCCAUUCAACAUCUUGGACCCAUCGAAGAACAUUGUCCAAUGAGCCGAGUAGAUGUGGGUCGGUUGCUGUUGUUCUACCCAUUCUGCUAUGAAGUCAGCCAGGGCUUGAGACUUUAUAGCUUUCUUGGCUUCGAACUUGAUAUCGCAGUACAACAUCUCCAUUGCCCACUUCGCCACUCGGCCCGACGCGUCGCGAUUGUGGAGGAUUCCCGCCAACGGAGCAUCAGAAACGACAAACACCGAGUGGUCUUGGAAAUAAUGGGCCACCUUCUUCGCAAUCAUGUAAAUCCCGUAGAUAAGUUUUUGAUAGUGGGGAUACCUCUGCUUGGAAGGAGUCAGGACUUCGGAGACGUAAUACACUGGCUGCUGAACUUUGUAUGCUUUGCCUUCUUCUUCUCGUUCGACUGUAAGAACAGUGCUGACGACUUGAUUUGUAGCCGCGAUAUACAGAAGAAGGGGCUCUUUACUGAGCGGAGCAGUAAGAACCGGCUGGGUGGAAAGUAGGACUUUGAGGUCGUCGAAUGCGACUUGGGCUUCAUCUUUCCACUCGAAAGUAUCUGAUUUCUUCAUGAGUCGGUACAGAGGAAGUGCUUUCUCGCCGAGUCGACUGAUAAACCUGCUCAAACCGCUAGGCAACCUGUGAGUCGUUGAACAUCGUGUAUUCUGACCGGCCUCUCCAUGCGGACGAUGGUCCCGAUCUUUUCGGGGUUGACAUCGAUCCCUCGUUCGGAAACGAAGAAACCGAGUAACUUUCCGCUGGGAACGCCGAAUGAACACUUGGCGGGGUUGAGCUUGAUAUCGUACCUACGAAGGUUGGCGAAUGUUUCUGCCAAGUCGGUCAGCAGGUUGGAACCUUUGCGUGACUUGACUACGAUAUCAUCCAUAUAAGCCUCCAGAUUCCGACCGAUCUGGUCGAGGAGGCAUUUUUGGAUCAUGCGCAUAAAGGUAGCUCAUGCAUUCUUCAAACCGAAUGGCAUAGUGAUGUAGCAGAAGCACCCGAAUGGGGUGAUGAAGGCUGUUUUUAAUUCAUCGGGGCCAUACAGACGGAUCUGAUGAUAGCCCGAGUAGGCAUCAAGAAAUGACAAACGCUCGCAACCCGCAGUCGAAUCGACAAUUUGAUCGAUGCGGGGGAGCGGAAAAUGGUCUUUCGGGCAGACCUUAUUGAGAUGCUUGAAGUCGAUGCACAUUCUGAACGACUUGUCCUUCUUGGGCACCAUGACAACAUUGGCGAGCCACUCGGAGUGGUGAACCUCGCGAAUGAAGUUGGCUGCCAAAAGCUUGGCCACCUCUUCUGUGAUUCCCUUCCUCUUGUGCGCGGCGGACCGACGCAGGCGUUCUCGGACAGGCCGAGCGGUGGGAUCCACAUGCAGUCCGUGCUCAGCCAACUCCCUGGGUACACCUGGCAUGCCAGAGGGUUUCCAUGCAAAGAUGUCCCAGUUCUCACGGAGGAAUUGGGUGAGCUCGGCUUCCUAUUUAGGAUCGAGGGUGGUGGAGAUGUUCGUCGGGGCAGCAGUGUCGUCCGUCGGGUGGAUGCUGACCUUUUUCGUCUCUCCCGCCGACUGGAAUGCAGACUCCGGAGCUGGCUUCUUCGAAUGCAUCAAGUCAGCGGGGUCGACUGUUUUCUUGUACUCGUCAAGCUCGAGGACGGCCAUCUGCUGGUCGGCGAUUCUUGAUCCCUGCUGCAAACACUCUUCGGCCCGCUGUCGAUUGCCUGUGAUAGUGAUCACACCUUUCGGGCCUGGCAUCUUCAGCUUCAGGUAUACGUAACAUGGACGGGCCAUGAAACGCGCAUACGCCGGGCGGCCCAGAAUUGUGUGGUAAGCGCUCUGGAAGUCCACCACCUCGAACGUCAGCUUUUCCUUGCGGAAGUUCUUGUUGGAGCCGAAAACGACGUCCAACGCGAUCUGGCCGAGUGACUUGGCCUUCCAUCCAGGGACGACUCCAUGGAACUGCAUGCUUCUCUCACUGAGUUUGGACAUCGGAAUGCCCAUCCCCUUGAGAGUGUCGGCGUACAUGAUGUUCAAGCCACUGACACCGUCCAUGAGGACUUUGCGCAGUCAAACUCCUUCCACCACCGGGUCGACGACCAGAGCCUGUCUCCCUGGGGUGGGUACGUGUGCCGGAUGAUCCGACUGGUCAAAGGUGAUCGCAGUCUGAGACCAUUUGAGGAACUUGGGUUGGUAGGGGUGGCCAUGUUCACCUCCCUGUUCACCAGCUUCAGUCGACUCUUGCUCUCAACGUCAGCAAAAGUCAUCAGUGUUGCAUGGACUUGGGGGAACGGACCCUCCUUAUCCUCCUCGUCCUGUUCAUUGUCCUUUUCACUCGGUUGCCCUUCGCCGAACCCCUGGAUCAGGAGGCGACACUGUCGAGUGGUAUGCUUCGGAUAUAUGGGGUUGCCCUCUUCAUCCAUCUUCGUAUGAAUCGGACACGGCUGGUCCAGGAUGGGAUUAUUGAACUGCUUCUUCUUGGGGGUGAACUGAGCCUUCCCUUUGCCCUUGAACUUGGCGUUGCUUACAGCUGCAGCCUCUGCCUGCGGAGUGGACGGAGCUUUCUGCUUCUGCUUCCGAGUGUUGCUCCCAUCUCCAUCGGCGACUGUUUUGUGCUUGCCGCUUCGGAUGCGGUCCUCUUCUUCGCCAUUUGCAUAGCGUGCCGCUAUCUCCAUCAUCUUGCUCAUGGAGAUGUCGCCUGUUCGGCCAAACUUCAGGUACAGAUCCCUGUACCGCACGCCUACCUUGAAAGUGCAGAUUGCUUGAUGCUCUGUGACGUUCUCCACCGUGUGGUAGAGGGUUGUCCAACGCUGAAUGAAAUCACGCAGGGGCUCAUUCUCCUUCUGGACGCAAUGCUGGAGCUCCACGAGGCCAGCAGGGCGCUUGCACGUCCCUUCGAAGGUCCUGAUGAACACUCGGGCCAGGUCUGCCUAGCUGUAGAUGCUUGAGGGGGCCAACUGGUUCAGCCACGCUCGCGCCGAGCCGUCGAGCAUCAGAGGGAGGUGCUUCAUGGCGACAUGGUCGUCCCCUCCUCCGAUCUGGACUGCCACUCGGUAAUCAUCCAGCCACGUUUCUGGCUUGGACUCUCCUGUAAACUUGCUGAUUCCCGUUGCCAGUCGGAAGUUGGGAGGGAUGUCAGCCGAACGGAUGGCUCGACUGAAACACUCGGGACCAGAAACGAUGGUCCUGCUUCCACUCGGACGGUCAAUAUCGUAACCAUCGCGGUGGGCUCGGCCCCUGUCGACCCUCCGCUGGGCGAUAUGCCCUCUUGCGUCGGGUCUUGGGUCGUAAGUGUCACCGACUGAACGCCGAUCAUCAUGAUGUCGGGGCCCGUACGGCCCACCCCGCGGAGGGGUGCGUGAACGGCGACGAUCUUCGGGGUUUAUGGAACGGCUGUCUCCCCUGUGUCGCCGAUGAGAACCAGGGCUGUGAACUGACCGAUGCGUAUUCGCAUGAACAGAACUAUUGUGGAUCCUGUUGUGCGACUGAGAGACCGCCGAAUUUUGCUGUUGCGUCGUGUGCAACAGGGCACGGAUUUGCUCGAUCCCCCUGCCAGCCUCUGAAUCAGUCGGCUGAAGGGAAUUGGCAAUCUUGGCAGCCGCAGCCAAGUUGAGGAUGGGUGUGCGGAACGACUCCACAUUGCUCCGCCGAGUGUGCCGGCUGGCAGAACGGCGAGGCGGACGACGCGCGCCGGAUGUUUCGCCGAUCUCGUGCUCGUUCCGGCCAGCUUGACGGGGAUCUUCAUGGGAGUUGGCCAUGUGUACUUCUGCUGCAGGCCCGCGACCCGCGUACUCGGAAGGAAACUCAGUCGGAACCGAGUCCGAGCGCUGGGACGGAGGGGCAACCACAACCGACUCUAGGACCGCCACUUGUGAAGACGCGUUCUGGCGUGCCUGGGCGUGUCGCACCCAACGCUGGAGCCGCGGACGGCGGGACCGCUUGUUGCGGCGCGUGACGGCGGUGUAGGUCGACACCGGAGCCGACUGUUGGAGAAGAAGAAGAACGCCGCAGGCGCCGGCACGGAAGUGCGUAGCCCCGUGGCGGGAAAGCGCCUCGAUAUCGAGAGGAGCAUCCCGAAGCCAUGCUGAAUCGUCGAUGAUGAAGGAGAGAGCGCCGAAGAGGAUCUCGUGACCCAUGCUCGAAUCUCCACCGGACGACAUGACGAAACGAUGUAGUCGCAAACUCGCCGGAAGUCGCGUAGACGCCUGCCCCACGGUGGGCGCCAACUGUCGUGGGUAUAAGCCUGACAGUAUAUGUGUAGGGUACGAAAGGAUGGGCAGAGCCUUAGCUACGGCGAGGUUGUAUGAGUUCAGGCCCCUCUGCGGUGGAGGUAAUAGCCCUAUGUCUCAGUGCUCUGGGAGCUUGUUGUCGAGUGGAAUAUAGAAUACAGUGAAUUGCUAACCCCUGCACCAGUGGGGGAGGGUGGCUUAUAUAGAGUGCGCUGCCCUCCACAACGGUUCGGUGCACAGGGGUGGAGUAGUGGCGAAUAAAUGCCUACGUUACAGGUAACGUACGUCUUAAAUGCUAAUAAAGGCACGGGGAAACGUAUGACCGUUUCCCUCCAGGGGGGUUACGAUGCUCGGAGUGGAGUCCAGUCGGUUAGUUUGAUACGCUCCGAAUGCUAGUCUCCGACUGGAUGGUCGAAGACCUGUUACCGACUGGAUGAUGGCAACUCCUUAGUUCAGUCGGAACUGACUAAGGGCCUUGUCCCUUAUGAGGGGUAGUCCUUGGGUAGGACCUAUAGGGCAGGCCUAUGACCCUACCCUAGGACUAUAACCCCAUCAAAGAGAAAGUAAGGUACAGUGCUUUGGCAUUCUCUCUGUUCACAACGCUGAUCCCUCGAUCGUCUGAUCGAACGGGCUCAUAAACAUACAAUUAGUCUCCACUGAAUAUCCUGGUUUCAUGUUGUAUCGACGUGCUUGAUUAGGAACCUUAAUUAUUAGGCUAGACUAGUGCUACGUGUAUUUCUUAGUCAGUCAGUGACCUGAUUAAUCUAAACAUUUGGUGCAUGCAUAUGGUUGGCCAAAACCUAGGACUCUGAACGUCAGAGUACACACUACACGACUAGGACAUGUGGUUUACUUAGUAGACCAGUACUGCAUGCAUCAUUAUCUUUUGCUGUUUAAUUUGGCAGAAAUCACAGAAGCUUAUUUCAAUGGCGCAUGCAAAAAUCCAACGAAACGAUUGAAAACUUGAGUUGCGAGCUGAACGCUCAAUAAUAGAACGAUUUUCCUAUACGCUGCAACUAGCUUGGCUUAUUUCUAAAAAACAUUAUGUUCAUAUUCAGCCCCCAUUGAAAAUUGCCACUGUCCUAUAUUGUUGUCCAUGUAUUACAAUAUAACCGAUUAUUAGCUCAGAGUAGGCAGACCAAAUGGUUAUUAGCUCGAGGCACAAGCAAUCAUUCAGUAUGACAACCUAUCACAUGGUGUCAUCAUACUCUUGGCCGAUGACAAGAAGCAGGUCGAGGACCAGGACCAUCUUACCUUAAAGGAGCAGAGCAGGUCGAGAACGAAGAGGAGCAUCGACACUCUUCGUCGCUGAGGCUAAGCAAGCCCUUUCAUCUCUCCUCCUCGAGAAGGACAAGGCUACCAUAGUCGUUAUAAUACAUGGCUGCAAAGAAGAAGCAGAGUCAAAAUAAAAUGUUAUGACAAAUGAUAAAGAGGUAUUAAUUAAGUACAAACAAUAAAAACUCACAUGUCACAACAAUCAUACUACAAUCACACCUCAAAACUCACAAUAUUGUGAGUGGCCUAUUCUUCCCAGAUCCUGGCUUGUUUGCUGCAAGCACCUCUCCACCAACAUAUAACAACAGAGUUAAUAAAACUAUGUGUGAAGGAAUAAAGUCAAACAUUUUGAACGGAAGGUGUCAAGCAACUGCGGAUGCAUUAGUUACCUCGCGCAUUUUCUGCACUUCAUCAGGAAUACUGCAGUUUGCGGCAGAUUUGUCGAACAUUUCAAGUAUCCUGAAGGCUCGAUUCCUCGCAUCGUUCAUAUCUGAAGCAGACAAUAUCUCCUUGACAAUUAGCUCCGCCCAUUCAGUGUUGUUGGUUGGAGCAUUCAUCACCGGAACAUCACAUGCCACUGCGAUUAACAAUCAUUCUAGUGUUAGACAAUAUGCACACUGUAAGAUUCUUGUUUUGAGAAACUGCAUAUUGUAAGAUUAGUGUUGGUCUACAUAAGUUAUACAUCUUCGGACAUCAUUAUCAGAUAACAAGAGGAACAAGUAGUCAGGCUUAUUUUUCAGUCAUGCCAGCCAUACCUCCAGACGAGGAGGUACCAGCAUUGGUCGUUGCUGAAUCCGAUGCCAAAUAACCCUUGAAGCUUCUGAUGGCAGCAUCCAAGACAUUUCCCGACGCUUCGAGAUAGCCUCACAGAAGCUAAAAAUGCCCCCAAAAUUACUCAUCAGAAUGGUACGGAGCAAUACGGUACACAAGGAUCAGGGCCCUCAAGUCUACUGUUGUGACAUAACAUAAACCAAAGCUAUAUCAGGAUUUCAGAAAACCAUGGUAGAACUUCUGUGCACAAGAGAAACGGAUGUACGUACAUGCUAUUUGUUCUGACAUGUUUAGUUGAGACAUUUUAUUUCUGAAAUCCUAAAUUUAGCCAUCAUACACGCAUAGACAGGAAUCAUCCUCAUGGGAAGCGUUUGGCUCGCGCAAGAGGGGAAUAGUUGUGGACGAUUCUUCUGAACUUUUGAUUUACAAUUCCAUUAAUCUCUAAACUCUAGUCUAGUCUAAUUCAAGAAAUGGGAUAUGAAUCGGCAAAAGAAAAGAAAAAGGAAAUUCCCUGAUUUGUUGAAUUGUAAACCUUUUCAGCGAGUGAUGAUGAUAAACAAAACCAUUUUGCUGAAUCGUAAAAACAGGCAGUGAUGCUUAUCAGGUUGGUAACUUCCCACUGAUGAUGAUAAUAAGAUGGUAACAGUAAUUAGACACUGCAUCACAGCACAAACGAGGAAUCUUACUACCACAUAUCACAGGCUAAUUAUAAGAAACUAGCACAUCUCUACACCUUCAGAUCAAAAACUAGGAAUAGCCCCCCUAUCACCACGGAUGGCACAAAGGUGUGUCCCUGAAGAGGCCGACGAGGCAGGCCCCGGCGCCCUCCUGUAGCACGAAGACGGCAGAGCUCUGAAUAAUGCGGUUUUCACAGCAAAGUUGUGCAUUAAUUAAAGAGAAUAGAAUCAUAUAACCUUGGAACAAUAAGAAACGCAACGGCGGCAGUUGAGUUGAUGUUUGCUAGGUAUACUUCAGGAGUCAUCACUCAUCAACCAUAUCAUGGAGGGCUGAUUUGAAUGGUUAGUAGAGUAGUUUAGUCAAAACAAAAUUUCUGGAUGCACUCUCAUUAGAAAUGCAACAACCAAGUUACUCAACAAAAAGGAAUGAAUACUAAACUUCUGAUAAUUUCGACAAAUGCAAUGGUUCAGAAUAAGAGUAAGACAUACUGUGGGGCUCUAUGUCAAGAAGCCAGUGACCUACAGAUUUCAGAAACUUCCAUUGUUGCACUACCUAGCAAACAUCACGGAGGCAAGCCUACUAAUCAUGAGGUGGACCAAACUGAAAACUGAAAAUCCUAUCAAGUGCAUGGAUCACGCUAAGAAACUGUUGGUAGAUUUUUCAGAUUUACAAACACGUAGCUAAACAAGGGUAACAUCAUGGAGCACAAAAUUAAGAUCAGAUAUCAAACUUUCACAUGACUGAUGGUAACAAGACGGUAAUAAGGUCUCCCACACCAAACAUCCUUGAUAAACAGGAACAUCAACAAGCCCCAAACUGAAACUACUUCCAAAAGAAAUACCCAUCUAAUUCAGAUUCCUUAAAGGGAGGAACACCAGAACAUCAGUCGAUUUAGAGACGGCUCAGCUUAGAUCAUAUGUAGCACAAUAAUAUAUAUCUAAAAAAAGCGAGCAACCACAUUUUGUUUUCGUUCUAGAUUCAUUAGUACAGCCAACUACACCACAUAGCACGUAGCACUGUAGGAACCACAAGUCUGACCAAACUGAAUAUGAAUAGAAGGGCAUGGCAGGCAGCAGAUAAAUCUGAAACCACAUGUGUGCAUGAUAAAGUAAAAGACUGAUGAAAAGGAUUGCAUGCAUGAUUAACUAAACCACAAGUCACUGCAGGUCGUUGGCCCGGCAUGAGGUUCGGCGUUCGACUUUCCUGACAGAGAGCUGCUAUUGUACCCAUGGACAUGGAAUACUCCUCGUGCUGCUAAAUAACAAGAAGGUCUCAUCGCGUCCUGAAGCAGCACAUCACAACGAGUGUGGGGGAGGAAGGUCCAUGGCAUCCUCCUCCGAGGGCGACCUUGAUCUGUUGGAUUUGGGAGGGAGAGGAGAGGUGAGGAAGAACCUACUACAGAGAGAGGGGGAGGGAGGGAUGAUGGUGGUCAUACGAGAUCAGGUGUCAUCAUGUAUGGGCUCCUCCUAUGCUGCGUGCAAGGUCGACAUGGCACCGGGCUUGUCCUCCAUGGCGUCCUCCUUGACCACACGGGACAGGAUGCAAACAAGCAAACAAACAAAAAUGCACAAAACAAUCAGAUUUGAUCCAAAGUAGAAGCAAUCGAGGAGGACGAGCAAGGGAUGAUCCAUAACAGAUCGAUUCUGGUCGCCAUGGCUGGGAUCCUCCUACGCUUGUGCGGGCUAGGGUUUCAGUAUGUGCUGCUGGAAAGAAGGAUAGGGUGGGUCUUGGGGAGAGCAGGUCGGCACCGAUGCCGUGGCCGGCGGGAGGGAUGGGGGAGAGGAGAUCUACGACAGGGUUGGGUUGGGUUGCGGGAGGGGUGGGGGAGAGGAGAUCGGCGGCGGGGUUGGGUUGGGUUGCGGGAGGGAGGUGGAAGACACACAGGAGAGAGACUCGAGUUGGUAGGAGAGGGAGGAGGGUGUGUCAUGCGCUAGGUUUAUCGAGGAGAGGUGAUGAGACGUUGGAUCUGUAGGACAUGGACGGCUCAGAUCGCCUUUACUAGGGUGAUCUGUGGGCUCUAUUCUGAUUGGUUAGACAUGUGCCUUUAUAAACUUGUUUUUUAAGUGUUAAAAACAGAGGAGAUAUAUGAAGCAACUAUCAAAAACAUUUUGCAAAACGGCACCAUUAAUUUUUAGGUGCAUCUUGGAAUGGAAAACAAUGUUGCCUAAGAACGUUUUCAUUUUCAUUGGACGAAAAAGUCAUUUUCCAAUUUUUGACUGUCCAGAAUAAGUUUUUUUGUGAAGGGCCUAUCAUAUAUUUGUUGCAAAAUUGGAUCAAAUCAUUUUUAUAAAAUACUAGGUCAUAUUUAAUGCACAAUUGACCAAAUGAUUGGGUGUCAAAAGCUUUUAUCCACCUCUCGUGAAAAAGACAAAUUUCCGCCGAUUUAACUUGAAGCGAGUCAAAUUUGAACCGCAACUGUCUUAUAGUUUACUCUUUAUUUUUUCCAAAAAUAUUCUCUAGGUACAAAAGUAUCUAUUUAAUCAGAUAAACACCAAAAAAAUUCCAAGAUUCAACCACUAGAUAGGAACGGUCAUACCCGCUGUUUUGACCGUAUUUUGAAACACGCAUGAAAAAUUCAAAACCAAAUCAAAAAAUUGAAAAACCUUCGCAUUGUGCCAUUAAAUAUAACCAAGUUAUGAGGAAAAAUAAUAAACUUGUAAUACGAUAAUUAUUUAAAAAAAUGUUCUGAGAAAUGAGCUAUCAUGUGUGAAGACCACAAACCAGCCCAUUAGCAAGCAUGGAGGAUAAAAUACCAACCCAAUAUAAAAGUAAGAUGAAAAAAUAGCCCAACAGAAAGUGGUAUAAAAAACAGUUCAAUACAUGGAUGAGGUGGGAUAGAAUGAACCCACGAGUGACAUAUCAACAUAGUUAAAACAUGUAACGACAUUUUUAUAAUCGUCAUAAAAGUUAUGAUGAUCUCAUCUUAUGCGGUUACGACGUUUUUGACUCACAUCGUUGUAAUUUGUAUGUAGAUUUGAUCCCCUCAAAAGGUUUACGGCGAUCUCGGAUGAAAUCGUCAUAGAUAUAUGACGAAUUCAUCAACGACAUCUUAAAAAACGUCAUGUAUGAGCAUAUUUCUUGUAGAGGGAGGCAGCCCCACGCCUUAGGGUUUUAGCCCUAGGCGCAUUGGGCCCUUUUGGUGGCUCGCACCAGCCAACGAAGGAGCUGGUUCCCUCCCACUUUCGUCCCAUGUGGUCCUCCCGGGACAGGUGGACCCUCCGGUGGACCCCUGGUACCCUUUCGGUGGUCCCGGUACAAUACCGAUAAACCUCGAAACCUUUCCGGUGACCAAAACUGGACUUCUCAUAUAUAAAUCUUUACCUCUGGACUAUUUUGGAACUCCUCGUGACGUCCGGGAUCUCAUACGGGACUCCAAAAAACUUUUCGUAACCACAUAUACAAUUCCCAUUACAACUCUAGCGCCACCGAACCUUAAGUGUGUAGACCCUAUGGGUUCGGGGUUUGUGAAGUUGGUACUCAACAUGUAACCCCUAUUCCCUAUGUUAGGUUGUUUGUUAGGCCAUUAGGUAAAGUGUCGGAUCAAUUUCCCCAUUGCUCACUCAUACGUCUCCAACGUAUCUAUAAUUUUUGAUGGUUUCAUGUUAUUAUAUUGUCAAACUUUGGAUGUUUUGCGUGCCUUUUAUUUAUUUUUUGGGACUAACUUAUUAACUCAGCGCCAAGUGCCAAUUCCUGCUUUUUUCCAUGUUUUUCACCCCUUUCAGAGGAGAUUUUGAAACGGAAGAAAAUCCCCGAAAAGAUUUUUUUUGGAACGGAAGAAGAUUAGAGAACUUGGGAGGCAAGGCAGGGGAGCCCCAGGGGCCCCACAAGCCCCCACCCCGCGGCCAGGGGUGGUGCGCCAUCCAGGCUUGUGGGCCCCCUGGAGGACUAUAUAAUCCCAAAAAUUCCAGAAAAAAUCAGGAGAUCAUCGAAAGUACUUUUCCGCCGCCGCAAGCUUCUGUCUCCGCAGGAUCCCAUCUGGGGCGCGUUCUGGUGCCCUGCCGGAGGGGGGAUUCGGACACGGAGGGCUUCUUCAUCAACACCAUGACAUCUCCGAUGAUGCGUGAGUAGUUCACCAUAGACCUACGGGUCCAUAGCUAGUAACUAGAUGGCUUCUUCUCUCUCUUGGAUCUUCAAUACAAAGUUCUCCAUGAUCUUCAUGGAGAUCUAUCCGAUGUAAUCUUAUUUUGCGGUGUGUUUGUCGAGAUCCGAUGAAUUGUGGAUUUAUGAUCAGAUUAUCUAUGAAUCUUAUUUGAGUUUCUUCUGAUCUCUCUUAUGCAUGAUUUCAUAUCCUUGUAAUUCUCUUCGAGUUGCGGGUUUUGUCUGGCCAACUAGAUCUAUGAUUCUUGCAAUGGGAGAAGUGCUUGGUUUUGGGUUCAUACCGUGCGGUGACCUCACCCAGUGAUAGAAGGGGUAGCGAGGCACGUAUCGUGUUGUUGCCAUCAAGGGUAAAAAGAUGGGGUUUUCAUCAUUGGUUUGAGAUUAUCCCUCUACAUCAUGUCAUCUUGCUUAANNNNNNNNNNNNNNNUCUCCGAUGAUGCGUGAGUAGUUCACCAUAGACCUACGGGUCCAUAGCUAGUAACUAGAUGGCUUCUUCUCUCUCUUGGAUCUUCAAUACAAAGUUCUCCAUGAUCUUCAUGGAGAUCUAUCCGAUGUAAUCUUCUUUUGCGGUGUGUUUGUUGAGAUCCGAUGAAUUGUGGAUUUAUGAUCAUAUUAUCUAUGAAUCUUAUUUGAGUUUCUUCUGAUCUCUCUUAUGCAUGAUUUCAUAUCCUUGUAAUUCUCUUCGAGUUGUGGGUUUUGUCUGGCCAACUAGAUCUAUGAUUCUUGCAAUGGGAGAAGUGCUUGGUUUUGGGUUCAUACCAUGUGGUGACCUCACCCAGUAACAGAAGGGGUAGCGAGGCANNNNNNNNNNNNNNNNNNNNNNNNNNNNNNNNNNNNNNNNNNNNNNNNNNNNNNNNNNNNNNNNNNNNNNNNNNNNNNNNNNNNNNNNNNNNNNNNNNNNNNNNNNNNNNNNNNNNNNNNNNNNNNNNNNNNNNNNNNNNNNNNNNNNNNNNNNNNNNNNNNNNNNNNNNNNNNNNNNNNNNNNNNNNNNNNNNNNNNNNNNNNNNNNNNNNNCUUACACUUUUUACUUCGUUGCACUUUCCGCCUUCAGAUCUCACUUUGCAAACAAUCUUGAAGGGAUUGACAACCCCUUUGAAGCGUUGGGUGCAAGCUUGUUUGUGUUUGCGCAGGUACUUUGGACUUGACGAGGCCCUCCUUCUGGUUCGAUACCUUGGUUCUCAAACUGAGGGAAAUACUUACUGCUCCUGUGCUGCAUCACCCUUUCCUCUUCAAGGGAAAAACCGACGCAAACCAGAGAAGUAACAAGAAGAAUUCCUACGCGCCAGGGAAGGACUUUUGUUGCCGCAGCAGAAGAAUUUCUGGCUCCGUUGCCGGGGAGGAAGGUCAAGUCAAGGACUCAUCCAAGUAGGUGUCGCAAACUCAUCUCUUGCAUUUACUUUGUUUGCCAGUUGCCUCUCAUUUUCCUCUCCCCCACUUCACCAAAUUGCCUUUUUCGUUUGCCUUUCCUUUCCUUGUGUGCUAUGUUCCUUCAAAAUGCUUGCAUCUUUGCUUGCUAAGAAUCUAGUGAUAUGGAUGCUCAUCCACUUGCUAAUCUUUUCAAGAGGUCCAACUAUGUUGAACAAAUUGCUAGUGAGUUUUGUGCACUAGAUUAUCUUUAUGGAGUUUUGCUUGACAUGCGUGAAUCUGAAAAUUGUGAUGAGGAAAUUUAUGAAGUGAUUCACGAGGGCUCCUUGGAUGAAAAGCAUGAUUACAAUGGUUUCACUAUAAAUUCUAUUAGUGACAAUCAUGCUAAAAAUAUGCAAAACCCUAAGCUUGGGGAUGCUAGUUUUGCUAUGUCCUCUAUUGGUUGCAAUGAUCAUGAUUGGGGUGAUGAUCUUUCUUAUGAUCUUGAAAAUUUGUUUAAGCCUCUUGAUGAAUAUGAUGUUUGCAAUAUUAUUGAAAGUGGGUUUGGAGACGUCAUGACUUUAGUUGAUGAUAAUCCCACUAUUUUUGAAGAGCGUCAACUUUGCAUGCAUGUGGAUCAUGAAAAGAAUAUCCUACAUGAUAGUUACAUUGUUGAAUUUGAUUAUGAUCCCACAUGUGUUUGCUAUGAGAGAGGAAAAUAUUUUGCUAGAAACUUUCAUGUUACCAAAUUACCUCUCGUUAUGUUGAGAUUGCUAUUGUCUCUUUCUUCUUCCUUGCAUUUGGUAACUAUUGGUUGUCUUGCCAAUUUGUUUUCCUAUAAAAUGCCUAUGCAUAGGAAGUAUGUUAUACUUAGAUGUGAUUUUCACAUGCUUUAUGAUGCUCUCGUUGUUCUUCAACUCUUGUCUUUUGUGUGAGCAUCAUUGAUGCCUAGCUAAGGGCGUUAAACAAUAGCGCUUGUUGGGAGGCAACCCAGUGAAUUUAUCUUUUUCUUUCUGUUUUGUUGCGUCCACACUUUCAUAAUUCUGUUGUGAUUGUGUUUUUUGUGUUUCUUUUUGUGUUUGAGCCAAGCAAAACCUUUAUGACUAGUCUCGAUAAUGGUUGUUUGAUCCUGCUGGAAAAAGACAGAAACUUUUCGCUCACGAGAUGAUUUUUCAUUUUUAUUCAGAAAUAGAUUUUGAGUUGAUUCUUUUUGCUGCGGAUAUAUAUGCUUUUUUCCCAGGCCGUCGUAAAUUUUUCAGAUUUUUUGAGGUACCAGAAGUAUAUGAAGUAUACAGAUUGCUACAGACUUGUCUGUUUUUGACAAAUUAUGUUUUUGUUGAGUUGGUUGCUUGUUUUGAUGAAACUAUGGUUAGUAUCGGGGGGUACUAGCCACGGAAAAGUGAGAAUACAGUAGCCCAUCAUCAAUAUAGAUGGAAUUCAAGUUUGCUACAGUACCAAAAGAAGUGGUAGUUUGUUUUCUUGUACUAAUGUUAUCACAAGUUUCUGUUUAAGUUUUGUGUUGUGAAGUUUUCAAGUUUUGGGUGAUGUUCUCAUGGACAAAGAGAUAAGGAGUGGAAAGAGCUCAAGCUUGGGGAUGCCCAAGUCAUCCCAAGCCAAAUUCAAGGACACCAAAAAGCCUAAGCUUGGGGAUGCCCCGGGAAGGCCUCCCCUCUUUCGUCUUCAAUCCAUCGGUAACAUUACUUGGAGCUAUAUUCUUAUUCACCACAUGAUAUGUGUUUUGCUUGGAGCGUCUUGUAUCAUAGGAGUCUUUUCUUUUUGUUGUGUCACAAUCAUCCUUGUUGCACACCUUCUUGAGAGAGAGAGACAUGCACUCAUCGUGAUCUUGCUAGAAUGCUCUAGUGCUUCACUUAUAUCUUUUGAGCUAGAUACUUUUGCUCUAGUGCUUCACUUAUAUCUCUUGAGCUAGAUACUUUUGCUCUAGUGCUUCACUUAUAUCUUUUGAGAUAGAUACUUUUGCUCUUGUGCUUCACUUAUAUCUUUAGAGCACGGCGGUGCGUGAUUUGGUAGUUGGCUUAUGCUAUGGAAGUAGUCCCAAUUGUGCUAGGUACCCAAAGAGGAUGCAAAACCCUCCAUCUUCAUGUGCAUUGGGUAGAAAGAGAAGUUUCGAUUCCUAUCAAUUAGUUUUGAGACAUGGAUUCGGUAAUAUUAAGAGUUAUGUUAGUAGGGUGUUGUGAAUCUAGAGAUACUUGUGUUCGAGUUAGUGAUUCCCGUAGCAUGCACGUAUGGUGAACCGCUAUGUUAGGAAGUCGGAGCAUAAUUGAUCUAUUGAUUGUCAUCCUUUGUGUUGAGGUCGGGAUCGCGCGAUGGUUUACACCUACCAACCCUUCCCCUCGGAGUAUGCGUUUAGCACUUUGUUUCGAUUACUAAUAAAAACUUUCGCAACAAGUAUGUGAGUUCUUCAUGACUAAUGUGAGUCCAUGGUAUAUAUGCACUUUCACCUUCCACCUUUGCUAGCCUCUCUAGUGCCGCACAAUUCUCGCCGGUGCACAAGCCCACCAAAUUCCUUCCUCAAAACAGCCACCAUAUCUACCUACUAUGGCAUUUUCAUAGCCAUUCCGAGAUAUAUUGCCAUGCAACUACCACCGUUUCGUCUCAUGACUUAUGCUGUCACUCUCAUAUUGCCAUUGCAUGAUCAUAAGAUAGCUAGCAAGAUGUUUCAACGUCAUACGCCAUGCUAGAUCGUUGCACAUCCCGGUACACUACCGGAGGCAUUUCCUAUAGAGUCAUCACCAUUUUGAGCUGUGAGUAAAUAAAGGUGUGAUGAUCAUCCUUAUUAGAGCAUUUUCCCAUGUGAGGAAAUAAAAAAAAAGAGCCCAAAGAGCCCAAAAACAAAAAAAGGGAGAAAAGAAGAGAAAAAAAAGGGAGGCCUAAGAGCCCAAAUGAAAAAAAGAGAAAAAAGAGAAAAAAGAGAGAAGGGACAAUGCUACUAUCUUUUUCCACACUUGUGCUUCAUGUUAGCACCAUGUUCUUCAUGAUUGAGAGCUUCUUGCUUUGUCACUACCAUAUGCUAGUGUGAAUCUUCAUUUUAUAACUUGGCUUGUAUGUUCCAAUGAUGGGCUUCCUCAAAAUUUCCCUAGGUCUUCGUGAGCAAGCAAGUUGGAUGCACACCCACUAGUUUUCCUUUUGAGCUUUCACAUACUUAUAGCUCUAGUGCAUCUAUUGUAUGGCAAUCCCUACUCAUUCACAUUGAUAUCUAUUAAUCGGCAUCUCCAUAGCCUAUUGAUAUGCCGAGUCAGUGUGACCAUCUCCUCCUUUUUUGUCUCACAACCACCACCACACUCUAUUCCACCUAUAGUGUUAUAUCCAUGGCUCGCGCUCAUGUAUUGCGUGAUAGUUAUAAAAAGAUUGAGAAAGUAAGAGUGCGAAAACAAUUACUUGGCCAAUUCCGAGGUUGUUCAUGAUUUACAUUAGUUGUGUGAGGAUGAUGGAGCAUAGCCAGACUAUAUGAUUUUGUAGGGAUAACUUUCUUUGGCCUUGUCAUUUUGAAAGUUCAUGAUUACUUUGCUAGUUUGCUUGAAGUAUUACUGUUUUCAUGUCAAUAACAAACUAUUGUUUUGAAUCGUACGGAUCUGAACAUUCAUGUCACGUGAAAGAAGUCGCAGAGGACAACUAUGCUAGGUAGCAUUCCACAUCAAAAAUUCAUUCUUUGUCACUUCCCUACUCGAGGACGAGCAGGAGUUAAGCUUGGGGAUGCUUGAUACGUCUCCAACGUAUCUAUAAUUUUUGAUGGUUUCAUGCUAUUAUCUUGUCAAACUUUGGAUGUUUUGCAUGCCUUUUAUUUAUUUUUUGGGACUAACUUAUUAACUAAGUGCCAAGUGCGAGUUCCAGUUUUUUCCAUGUUUUUGACCCCUUUCAGAGGAGAUUUUGAAACGGAGUCCAAACGAAGGAAAAUCCCCGAAAAGAUUUUUUUGGAAUGGAAGAAGAUCGGAGAACUUGGGAGGCAAGGCAGGGGAGCCCCAGGGGCCCCACAAGCCCCCACCCCGCGGCUAGGGGGCGCCAUCCAAGCUUGUGGGCCCCCUAGAGCUCCCCUGACCUAGGUCUUUCGCCUAUAUAAUCCCAAAAAUUCCAGAAAAAAUCAGGAGAUCAUCGAAAGUACUUUUCCGCCGCCGCAAGCUUCUGUCUCCGCAAGAUCCCAUCUGGGGCACGUUCUGGUGCCCUGUCGGAGAGGGGAUUCGGACACGGUGGGCUUCUUCAUCAACACCAUGACCUCUCCGAUGAUGCGUGAGNNNNNNNNNNNNNNNNNNNNNNNNNNNNNNNNNNNNNNNNNNNNNNNNNNNNNNNNNNNNNNNNNNNNNNNNNNNNNNNNNNNNNNNNNNNNNNNNNNNNNNNNNNNNNNNNNNNNNNNNNNNNNNNNNNNNNNNNNNNNNNNNNNNNNNNNNNNNNNNNNNNNNNNNNNNNNNNNNNNNNNNNNNNNNNNNNNNNNNNNNNNNNNNNNNNNNNNNNNNNNNNNNNNNNNNNNNNNNNNNNNNNNNNNNNNNNNNNNNNNNNNNNNNNNNNNNNNNNNNNNNNNNNNNNNNNNNNNNNNNNNNNNNNNNNNNNNNNNNNNNNNNNNNNNNAACCAGAGAAGUAACAAGUAGAAUUCCUACGCGUCAGGGAAGGACUUUUGUUGCCGCGGCACUCACCACACCAUCGAUUUUGCCUAGGUAAUUAUGAAAGAAGAGAAGAAGAUGGUAGUUUUGCCUAUGGUUCAGGCAUGGCUCAUGUUGAUCCAUAAAAGAGAUGUUCGUCCUGGUGACAAGCAUGUCAUCCGUUAUGCUCCAAUGCUAGCUCGGGAUAAGGAGAGGAUAACGAAUCUAAACCACAUCUACAACAACAAUGACACAUAGGUUGUGUGGAUGCUAAGAAUGAUAAGAGCAUCUUUCACCAGGCUUGUGCAAAUCUUUAGAUUAGGGGCUGCUAUAAUAUAGCAUCCACACUGGUGUGGAAGAGCAAGUUGCUACGUUCCUCCAUGUUAUCGAACAUAGCCGGAGGUUUAGGAUUAUCCACAACACGACCAGGAGAUCAAUGGAUACCGUUUUCACGUACUUUAGGCAAGUGACGUAUGUUGUUGGGGAACUCAGAGAAAAUAUGACCAGGUCACCAACCGACCGGACUCCUAGUAAGAUACGCACUAGCCCAAGAUGGUAUCCAUAUUUCAUGGUGAGCACCGACAGUAUGUAGUUCAUUCCUGGACAUGCUUGUAUUGUUCUACUAUAUCGAUUACACCAUCUCUUCAUGCCAUUUUAGGAUUGCAUUGGGGCAAUAGAUGGUACUCAUCUCACUACUUGAGUUCGGUGUUAUAAUCUGCAACAUACAUGAGGAGAAAGCACCACACAAGCCAGAAUGUUCUUGUUGUUGUUGACUUUGAUCUGAAGUUUACAUAAUUGCUAGAUGGAUAGGAAGGAUCCGCACAUGCUGGUAACAUUCCAGCUGACAACAUGAGUACACCUGAUGACAUAAAUAUCCCCGAUGGAAUGUUCUACCUGGAAGAUACUAGCUAUGCAUGCCAGCCAGGUGUUCUUCCAUUCAGAAAAAUCAGGUACCAUCUAAACGAGUUCGCCGGUAGAAACUAUCCUAGGUCUCCACAAGAACUAUUUUAUCUUAGACGCUAUAGCCUUAGAGUUAUGGUUGAGUGGGCAUUUGGAGCUAUGAGGAAUAUUCUUAAGAUCCUGAAUCAAAAGUCAUUCCACACUUUUCCCAAACAUGUUAAGCUUAUUCUUACUUGUAGCAUUUUGCAUAACUGAAUCGUGUAAUGGGGUUGUGAUGACCUGACGUCGGAGGAGGAAGAGGUGACGCGUGAUGAUGUUGUCAGCUCUAACCAUGGUGUGGAGGCAUUUGACGAUGAAGCCUGAAAGAACAAAAAGAUGGAGUGUGCACAAGCAAUAUGAGAUAACACAGCUAAGACGAGGAUCUGAAGAAGAAGAGGAACAACAAGAACGGAAAAGAAGAAGCGACGACAAAAGAAGAAACAACGACGACAAAAUAAGAAUAAGGCAAGGAUGGACUUCCAACUAGUUCGGCAUCGGUGAACUAUCCCUGUUGAGUCAUUUGACUGUUUAUUUGUAAUGAUAUUUUCUAAUAGUUAGAACGAACUGUGAUUCCUUUUCUAAUUAGGACUGAAACUAUGUCCGGAUCGUACAUGAUAAGGUCAUCGCUAAUGAGAAGUGAUGAUAGCGCCUUAUACAGUUUGCAACCAAACGACUUAGUUUGUGCGUCCUAUGCAACGUAGACAACCAAACUAACAAGUAAAUAUUGUUUCCCUCACGUAGCCAAUCUUGAUGCAGACAAUCAAACUAUAUGCAGAUGAUCUCUAACACAGUCCCAUCUAAGAUGUAAAGAAAGAGAAAAAUGAUACAGUCAACCAAACACGCCAUAAACCAGGGCCCUCGCUCACAUCGUCGAGGUACCGGUGCUUGGCAUGCAGAUCCGACCUCGUACGAAUCGCAACACCCCGCUUGACCUGUUGGCUGCGCGCUGCUUGAGGUAAGGCCCUCGGGACGGGAGGGAGGGAGGAGGGGCCCAAAGCCUCUCGUCUCGUCUCGCACCACAAAAAGGAUCGCGUGUCUCGUACACCGUGGUUUUUAAUCACUCCCCUCCUUCCUUCUUUCCUGGAGCUGGAGCUCUUUACUCCACUCUCACUACUCACUCGUCACACGCCACUCGAUCCCAUUCCAUUCAGCGCACAAGCCCAGCAGCAGCAGCGGCAAUGACGCCGCGCGCGUCGUGAGACAGACCUACAUACAGGCGGUGUUGGCGCUCGCUGGCGGUGGGGGGGCGAUUAACCGGGCCAGUCUGCGCGCGGGCCAUGGCGGGCGGCCCGGCGAUGGCUCCUGCGGCGGCGUGGUGGCCAGGCGCGGGGGCGGGGGCGCAGGAGCACGAGGAGAUGCGGUGGCGGCAGCUGGAUGGCGGCGUCAGCGCGGUCUCCUUCGGCUUCGUCGCCACGGCCAUGCUCGUCUCCAUGUUCCUCGCCAUGGCCGUGCUCGAGCACUUCCUCCGCGCCCCGCCCAUGGGCCCGCCGGAGCCCUCGCCAUCGCCGCCCCGAGGCGGGGUCCUCCUCCGCCUCCUCCGCCGCCGCGGCGCCGGAGGCAGACCCCCCGGCGCGGAUCUCGAGGCGGCAGGGAAGCUCGACGCCGGACGCGCGUCCCCCGAGGUACCACUACGACGGCACUGCUCCCCCCGCACGCCCCGCCGCCGCCCCCAUUCCCCAUCCGCUCCCGCCUCCCCCCCGCUUUUCAUGAUUCCGUCGUCUCGCCCUUUUUUUACCCUUUCCGCGUCGCUUUUACUGCUCACCGUGCGUGUGGCUGUCUGUGUGCACUUGAGAGUUGAGGCCGACCCAGAUUGCGCAUCAUUUCGUUCCUCCACCACACUCGACUCCGCCAUGAUGCAUCGGCCAUGGCUAGGGCCAGGACCUAGGAGGGAAGCAUCAGAGGAGGAUGCCCAUUGCCCAAGCAGGGACCAAGAGAUUCCUGCCUCGAUUUUUAUGGUGGCUCAAGAAAGUAUCUUAAUAACAUACACAUCAAAGGAGCACAUUUUGAUCUGCAGCGCCGAACCAGAUCUUGCUGAUGUGGUUCAUCACUUGAUCACAGCUCAUCUUCGUCAGUAGUUCAUAGUAGCAGCGUAUCCAUCCAUUAUAGUCGAAGUGAUGUUAAGUUCGUCCAAACUCUGAAACAACUCAUUAAUUAGCUUGGUCGAGAUGUGUCCUACUGCUAGUACCUCAACCCCACAGGUCUCUGUUAAGCCACAACUCAUUUAAUUAGCCUGGUCGGGAUGCCCCACUGCUUCAACCCCACAGGUCUCUGUUAAGCCGUUAGCCACAUCGAUUUCUCCUGUCAUAUUAGCCCUACACAAGUACCAGCUGCAGCUGCUGUCUCAGCAGUUAAUCAUUCAUCAUUAUUUAGAUCGCUUUAUGCUAAGUGGCCACAUGGUGUUUUUUCAGGAAAAUGAGUUAAGAGUAGAUUGAUCACAGGGGUGGAUCUUCCUGAUGCAAUCGAUUUCUAUCCUUCUGUACUCUCUCUUGUGGAUAAGUUCAGUUGGCACCUUCAUAUGGCUUGUAGCAACAUUCUUGUCCAUUUUGUAUGGUGUGAUAUGUAGUGGUAGAAGACAAGGGGAGUUGCUAUUUAAGAUCAUGGGUUGUGGAAUUGAGAGGGGGGUUUGGCAGACAGUGUGGAACAGACAAGGCCCACCCCUGUCUGCACCUAACAACAAGGUCUAAAUCACAUUCUAGCUUCCAAUAUUUGUUCUCCAUCCAAAACUCAGACAGCCACAGCCUGCAGGCCCCAGAUGAUGUGGUCAUCAUUUGUUUGCUCGCUGUCAAAUGUGGAACCUCCUGUUACUAAGAUGGACCAGCAUCACAAUUUACUUUGAGCUUGUACUGUGCCCCAUCAUGGAAAUCAAGAAAGUCAGUUAAUUAAACACGGGAGGAGCGUUGAAGUACGGAGUAUAAAUGGUGCCCUUGUCUAAGAACUUGACUUAACCCUUAGAAACUUGAUGCUAGACUUCACACAAAAAUAAGGGGUUGUCUCUUGCUCGCUAGCUGGGCCGUACCAUGAGCUGCUCGCAGCCAUGCUCACAGGGUUCGCCUCAGUGGUGCAUGACUACGCGCAGCUCCUUUCCGUCGCUCCUGCUGGUCGGCAUACCCAGCAUACCCUUAGUUGUGCCGCCUGUUUGUUGUUCGCCGAGAGAUUGAGGGAGGCGUUAGGGGCUUAAUGAAUGAGCAUGCAAGGAGGAGUAUUUUUAUUAACUACUAGUAUAUUAUAAGUUUGAAAUAUUGAUUGGAGGAGUAUUUUUAGUAACUGUAGUAUAUUAUAAGUUUGAAAUAUUGAUUGGAGGAGUAUUUUUAGUAACUAGUAUGUUGGAAGGUAUUGUAAAAGGGAAUGAGGUUGAUUGAGCGCCGUCAAAAUAUGAAAUUCAGUAUUUUUCUGUAGUCUUUCUGAAAUCUGCCAAAUCACCUUUCUGCUAUGAUAUAGAAAAACAAAAUGAUAUAUCACCUGUUACCGACCCUGUCUAGCCAUCUAACGUGCCAAGUAUAAGCCACCACAUAUAAAAUUCAGUAUUUUUCUGUAGUCUUUCUGAAAUCUGCCAAAUCACCUUUCUGCUUCUUCCAUGUUUUCAUAGUGUGUUUGUCAAUAACAGCAUCGGGUAUUGAGCUUUGUUCCCAUUGUCUGCAAUGAACGUUAUCAUCCAGCUAUUAUGUUAUAUUUCAUUUCUCGAUGACAGGUCAUUCAUGGCCGUUACUGAAUCUAGACCAUCAGUCCCAGCUUCCAUCCAAGUUCAGAUAAAUUUCUGAUCAGUUCUUGGGUAGUAGGGGCUCCAGUUCCACCCAAUUCCAGGUUAUCAUUAUUCAGGUUGCAUACCAUAGUGGAUGUUGAUCCUGGCUCUAGGACCUGCUCGAGAUGACCCUGGAACCAAGUAGCAAAGGUGUCUUGAUGGCAGAUUGGCAGCCACACCUCAGGGGGAGGAGGAGAAAAAUGGAAAAAUAUAGUAUAGUACUCCCUCCGAUCGAAAUUAAUUGAUGCAGCUCUAGUGCAACUUUGUACUGAAGUUGUACUAAAGCUGCCUCAAUUAAUUUGGAUCAGAGGGAGUACUACGUUUUUUUCUGCUUAAUCCAACCAAAAGAAGUGCCAAUCCUUAUAUCGGAGGUGCUUGCCCCUAACACAAGUAACUAAUCUUACCUUUCCUAACUUAUACAAAUAUAAAGAAAACAAACUUUGGGGAGAUGAACCUUUGUAGCUGCGGUGCAAAUGAAAUUCCCUUUAUUUUAUUUUCCAGAUUUAAUUGUAGUCAGAUACACACUCUAAAGCAAUAGCAGUAUGCUAGAACAGGCAUCUGGUAGACGUAGCAUCGAUAACUCAUCUUAUGCACAGUUGUUCCACCAUCUAUGGACCUAUUUACCCGAAUAUUGACAUACCAUACAUCCAAUGAUUUUUCAUCAUCUGUUUCAGUUUUGCAGUUGGGUUGGGUUAAUUUGAUUCGAUUGGUUCUUGGGGAUGUUAUGGCAUCUUGUUUUUUGUGUUGAUAUUCAUUCUGCUUCCCUUCUCACAAUCAUAUGAAAAUAAAAAAUACAACUGAUUAUGAAAGCAAAACAUCCCUCCUAUUUCUGACUACAUACACAUUCUUACUGAUUACUUGGCUUAUAUGUGGCUUUGCAGAUGCCUGUCUAUUCCAAAGGGGUAUCCGUCCUGAUGCCGGGACAGGACGUGCCGACGUUCAUCGCGCAUCCCGCGCCUACGCCCUGCCCCCCGGAGAGGGUCCGAUGGCCAUCGCACCAGCCCGCUCCGUUCGCCGGUUCCUCAUCAAAUCCAAGCUAGCGCGUGGCUGCCGGACCGAGCACCGAGCACCCUUCUGUCUGUCUCACCAUCCAAGGGAAGGGGUAAAAUGCCGGCGGAAUGGCGGCGGUCCACAGGAGCACACCUCUGGUUUCUUCUGUGGCCAUGUCACCUCCGGCGCCUUGGUGGAACUGAAGAGGUUCUCUCCAUGCGUUGUACAGUUUAGAUGUCUGUUGCGGAGCAAGUUUUGGUAGCUCCUGCUGCCUGCCUGUAUUAUGGCGGGAGAAGAGCGGCUAGCCUGGUGGAUCAAUGGAAUUGUUGCCGAUCCCGCUUGCUCGGCUAGUGGUGUUUAGAUGCUUUCGUUGUCGUUGGUUAUAGAGUCGGUCGUAGAUGUGCGUCAUGGAUGGAUGUACUUGUACACGUCUUGUGUAAUUUCGUUGCAUAAAUGACUUGAGCCUAUUGGAGCUGAGCCCCCAUCAGCCUCGUAUCGUAUCAUUGCGCAGAAAAGGAAAAAAAGCCUCGUAUUUGCCAAGCUCGUGGUCACAAAUUACAUAGAGUAGUAUUUAAGUUUUUUUAAUAAACUAGCACAAAUGCCCGUGCGUUGCAACGGAAGACAUUGUUACAUGUCUUAUGACUACAGCUAUUUUUCUCUUUUCUCGUCUCAGUUUGUCAAACGUACAUGUGUUACAAUUGAAUAAAAAAAAUUCUUUAGAUUCCUACUGUUUCCGUAUAUGCUUUUUGAGGAGAAAAAAUGGCCAGCUUGAUUUAUGAAGCAAGUUAAAUACCUCAACAGGUUAUUAACACCUUUUAUUAUGCUCACCAAUGUUUCAUAUAUUUUCAUUUUAAUUACUCACUCCGUUUUUAAAUUUGUGCGCCAUAUAUUUAAAUUUGUGCGUGAAAUAACAGCCCUUAAAAGCGCCCCUCACAGUUCUGUGUUUUACUAAUGUAAAAAAUAUGCUCAAUAGAGAAAAUAACAAAAUAAGCUUAUGUGGGAUCGAAUCGAUGACUAUGGGUUAAAAGCGUUGAGCUCUAGCCAUUUGAACUACUAAUAUGCUAAUGGUAAAUUUGUAGUCCGCUGGUUAAUAACCAUAGUAAAGCGUAGCCACUUUACAAAGGAAAAACGAAACGUUUGGUUAAUUACACUUUAUUUAUUUAUUUAAUUAUUCUUAUUUGUUUUUUUUCCUUCGUAGGUUUUAUUGGUUCUUUAUUACACUUUAUUUUUUGUAUGUUUCUUAGUUUUGUUGGUUUUUCUUGUUUUUGCACUGGUAUUCCUCGGGUUAAUCACUGAAUUUUUUAUUUUUACCGGUUUUGUGUUUCUUUGUCAGUUUUUAUUUAUUUCCUUUCUUCUUAUUUAUCUUCAGUUUUUAUUUCGUACAUUUUUGGUUUUCAAUGAUUUUUUUUUCCUUAUUACUUUAUUUUUUCUCUGUUUUCACUAUUUUUUAUUAUUGCUAUGUUUAUCAUUUGAAAACAUAAUUCAAUAAACCAAGGAAGAGACAAUCAACAUAUAUAUAGAAGCAUCUCAAGAAAAAGAUAUGUCCACCAAUAAAUAAUUGAAUCUCAUUUGUGAAAUACUGACAGCAAAUGUAGAAUACUGAUAGUUGGCACUUCAUAUGACAAUGAGAAAAUAAACCACUCCUAUAAACUCUUUUGUUCUCGUUAUUAUUCACAUGCUUAGCUAAUGUUCAGGUUUUUAGGAUAAAUCAUAAAUAACCAUAACCAUGAUAACAGUCAAGCUUAUCGGGUUUAUUCCGCCUACCCUAUGAGAUAAAGGCAAAAAAAUGGAACAUGUUCUGUGGAUCUGUGCACAUCAAACUUUGCAAUGUGUGGUACAUAAAGGACAAUUUAGAAUAUACAUAUAUCCUGAUACCUAAUUGUUACUUGCUUUCUCAUCUCCCAUGUGCACUCUACAUAACAUAUGCAUACAUUACAGGCUUCAAGCGUUCAUGAAUUUCUUCAGCAAAUUUAACAUUAUCACAGAGUAAGUCAAACUUGUGACCCAGCAUGCUAAGGGAAACAAAUUCUAAUAGCAAACAGUGAAACUCCCCAAAACUGUCAGAUUGCUGAAAUAUAUCUCUAUUUCCUGUGCUGGUUAAUCUUCGGAUUCUGACUCACCCUUGCAUUCCUCGCAUAGACAGGUCAUAUCCUCCUUUAAUAUUCAAGUCUAAUAAGAGCAGGUCCUCAAUUUUCAGGGUGCAUUUGGCAUUCUUCGCCUCCUGACUUCGUACACGGUAGAGCUGAAAAUCCAAAUUAUUAUCAUGAAGAUUGUCAUCAGAUAUAGCUUUCACCGGCUGUUCAGUGCUUUCUUCAUACACAUGUGUUCCAUUGUCUGACAAGCCCGGAAGGGCUAGGUUAAAGUCUGUAAGCUGUGAUCUAGCAUUUUCUAGGCCAGCAGAUCCAUUUGCAUCAAAGGAAAUGUUUUCUUGAGCUUUCUCUAGUAUUUCCUUUAAAUAUCUCACUUGAGCCUCUAUUCGCAUCUGCAGCUUCUUCUGCACCUGAUCACAGAAAUAAGCAUUUUUUUAGGCUGAUACAAGCAUUUUUAACCUAUAUGGUACAGAAUUUGGUAGUAUAAGCAGUGAUGCACAACUUUUCUAACCUCAAGUUGUUCACACAAUUCUCUUUGGACCUGGAUUUGAUACCUGAGGGUGUCCUCAAGCGGCAUUUAUCUGAUUCAUAUAAGAAAUGUUUUGAAAAUGGUUAGUUAAAUCAUCAUACAGUCUCAACUGAUGAAAAAGGCACAUAGAAGACAUAUGACAGUAAGUAAUCAGUAGGAUUCCCUCUUUGUGACUCUAUAUAAGGAACUUUGCAUAUAUACUUAUGGAAGGGCAAAAUUAAUCACAACCAAGAAAAGCUAGUGAUUGCUACUAACUUGUACAACUACUAAAGAUCUCACUUUUCAGUUAUACAUGAGUAUCUCUAAUACCAAUGCUGGUUUAAGUUCUGUCCUGCAGGCAAAAACAAUAGUGCUUGAUUUCUAUAUAUGCCUGGUGAUCAUUGAGGAUUUAGCUCUAGCACAUGAUGCCUUAGCGCAUGGUUAGUCUCAAAUUUAAGUUGACAGCUUGAUUGCCCAACACAAAACAAAGAACCGUACUGCACUGUCGACGGCAAAAAUUAGUCGACCUUUUUCUUUAAAAUUAUGCUUUGAACAGUACUACAAAAUCAUUGGAGGGACAGGAAAACAGAGUAUGUAGUACUCAUCUAAUCCCUUAAGUGUUCAGAUUCAUAAGUAAAUCGCCUUAGUUCAGUCCAGGGAAAACUUACAAGAUAAUUCAACAUCAUUUGUCUUUUUACGUAGACACAAUUUAGUAGAUUAAUUGCCUUCAGUAUUUUGCGUCAAACAAUGUUAAGCAGUAAUAACGUAGUAGUAUAAGCAUCAUGCAACCAGAAUCAAAUGGAGAACAGAUGAGAAGGAAAUAGAAACUCACCAGUCGAGUCCAUGUCGUAAACCUUGACAUCCAUGCGUUCAACCGCUUCGCCAGAUGAUCAUACCUCCCACUUCCAAAUCGAUACACCAAACCAUCAGCUACCGGCGACAUGAUUUACUGUAAUUUUUGAGUAAGCAACAGAGAAGAAGGGGAUCAAAUUCUCAGCACGACGGCGGCCUUGGCCUUCUUCCCAGAGGAAGACGCCGAGACGGCGUCCGCGAUGGCGGCCGAGUCCACCUGGGGCGCGCGCCAUCGGAAGGGCAGGAGCAGGAGCAGGAACAGGAGCAUCGGCUGGAGCACGGUGAGGAUCCGACGCAGCGCGAGCAGCGACAGCAGCGCGCUGAUCCUGCCCGCCGCGUCCGCCGCCUGCAUGCUCCCGGCCAUCCCUCUGCUCUGCCCCUCCUCCGUUAGGUCCAGGAGCGCUGGCGAGGCUGGCGAGGUCAACGGGGUGAGGCGACGCUGGCGAUAUGGAUCCCCGAUCCAGAUCGGGUCGGCGAGGCGGCGACGCGAUGCAGGGUCCAGCGCGGGAUGAUGACUGCUCUUGUGGCCGGAUCUGGCGAAGAACGACGAUGAGCGGCGGAGGUCCAUGGCCAUGGCGGUCCUGCGGAACAGGGGAAGAGAGACCUCAGAUGAGAGAGAGGGAACGGGAGAAAGGAGAAGGAAGGCGCGGCGCGGGCUGCCAUGGUCGGGAUCCGGGCGGAGGAGCUGUCGGUGCUCCGGCGGCGGCAGAGCUCCAAUGAACGCCCACCGGAGGCGGUAUCGGGUGUGCGGCUUCGGGAGGAAGGAGAAGGAGCUCAGGGGCUGGCGGCGGCGGCGGAGGGCUUUUUUACAAAAAAACAAAACGUUUUCUUCCACUUACUAUAGGAUUGCGGGUUGAUUUCAAUAAGCCUCAGGGGCUUUUUUUGCAGAAAAACCAUGACGGACGACAGAAGUGCUGCGCGCUUUAUUAUUAGGGGAGAUACAUGGUCUACAUAUCUCUACAAUUAAAGGGGGAUCUGCCGUCGUGAUAGUUCGACCUUCCUUCCCCGUCGUACGAGUUCCCCUCCCACCUAUCGAUCCCCCGACGCGAUUGCAUCGUUAACUUCUUUUUUGUUUACCGCGACCCACCCACGAUCCCGCACGUCCUCUGUGAAUCCACCCCACAACCGCACACCCGCACGCGUCCCGGAUCCCGCCCCCGCUCCAUCGCGCCCAUGCGCCGUCACCUCUCUUGCGCCACCGCGCCCGCUCCCGGCCAUCACGCCCGUACGCCGCCACCUCUCCCGCACCACUACGCCCUAGCCCUGCUCGACACUCCCGUAUCCGCCCCCGCCGCCCCGCCCCGUCGCUCAUCCCUCGUCGUCCGCCACGUCGCUGAGCCCCCGCCGGGCCGUCCCGCCGCUCAUCCCUUACCGGCCGCCCCGUCACUCCUCCUCCGCUCGUGCCACCGUACUCGCGCCGCAUCAUCGCUUUCGUGCUCAUUCCAUGUAAUGCCCCAAGUUUAACCUUGUCAUAUUUGGAACCUUCCANNNNNNNNNNNNNNNNNNNNNNNNNNNNNNNNNNNNNNNNNNNNNNNNNNNNNNNNNNNNNNNNNNNNNNNNNNNNNNNNNNNNNNNNNNNNNNNNNNNNNNNNNNNNNNNNNNNNNNNNNNNNNNNNNNNNNNNNNNNNNNNNNNNNNNNNNNNNNNNNNNNNNNNNNNNNNNNNNNNNNNNNNNNNNNNNNNNNNNNNNNNNNNNNNNNNNNNNNNNNNNNNNNNNNNNNNNNNNNNNNNNNNNNNNNNNNNNNNNNNNNNNNNNNNNNNNNNNNNNNNNNNNNNNNNNNNNNNNNNNNNNNNNNNNNNNNNNNNNNNNNNNNNNNNNNNNNNNNNNNNNNNNNNNNNNNNNNNNNNNNNNNNNNNNNNNNNNNNNNNNNNNNNNNNNNNNNNNNNNNNNNNNNNNNNNNNNNNNNNNAAGUGGUGUGCAAAGCUUGGGUUUAACUAUGUAGUUUUUCAAACUAGAGUUCAAAGGAAGCCCCCUUCUUCCUUAUUUUCUUGAGCUCAAGAUUUACUUGCUCUGAACCUGAUUUUCAAAUGUAGAUCUAUUAGAGCAUUUUCUUGUGGAUGUGGCGAUGUGUCUAGGCCAUUUUAAAAAAGCUUUGCUUAAAUGGGGUUNUGGGUUCGAGUCCCAGAGGCGCCCUUUUGCUAUUUCCUUGUUUUUGUGGUGGAGUAUCUUGACAGGAGUUGAUACCCUGCAUGUUUCCCCUUCCCUGUCGAAGUGGAGCGGCUAGCCCAGUGGUGGGGUGUUGGUUGUGCAUCAGUUAGGUCUUGGGUUCGAUUCCAAGCACCCCCUCCCCCUUUUAAUUUUAUUUUUCCUUUUGCUGUUUUCAAGUAUGCUUGCAAUGUUCAUUGCUUGGGCAGCAAGCUAGUGCUCCCUUUUAGCUAGUGUGUGUGUAUGUGAGUAUAAACAUGUGUAUUUAUGUGUGAGGGCAAGUUCUUGCAUGGUGUGUGUGUAGUUGAAGCAUGUGUAGGUGGGUGUUGUGUGUAUGUGUGCAUGGGAGCAUAUGCACUAGUGUGUGCAUGUGUGUUUGUGUGUGGGUUACCCCCACAUAUUUGUGCAAGUGUGCACCAAGACAUGUAUGUGUGUGUGUGUGUGUGUGUGUGCAAGUGCUUGUGCAUGCACUUGUGUGUGUAGUGGUAGUGUAUGUGUGUAAUGCCCCAAGUGUAGGACUUUCCCUUCUUGUAACCUUCCAUGUGGGGCCACCUUGUCAGAGAUCUUGAUGAUAUCUUUUGUGCCAUGAAUUCAUGUGUGUUCCCUAGUGCUUACUUCCCUUGCAUGCAUGAAUUACAUAUCAUUCCUUGCCAUACUUAUGAUUGCAUGCCAUGAUCAUGUUGCAUUUGAGUUUAAUAGGAGUAGUGUUGUGGUGUUGUGAGUGCAUGUGAUCUUGCUAGGAUUAAGUGGUGGUUUUGCACUACCUUGUGAUGCAUGUGAUAAUGGUGUGUGUGAUGUAGGAGUGAGUGCUAGUCUUUUAAAGCUCUUGCCUUUUAAACUCCUUUUCCCUCCUAUUUUUAUUCUUGUCAAAAUUCCUUCUUCCCAAAGAUGAUUCUAAAAUGUCUAGUGGUUAGAUAAAAUGUGCUUAUGAGGGAGUGCAAUUUUUCUGAUUUGAAUCUUUGAUUUAAGUGGUGCAAAUAAACUCAAAACAGUAGCUUAAUUACUGUUUUGCAUUUAUUUCAAACAUCUCCAAAUAUUGCUUGUCUAUUUUUCCCUAUUGGGCCAUUAUUUCUUAGGUCUAGCGGGAUUUUCCUUUUAUUUUUUAACCCAGUAGUUAUUUUGGGUAAUAUAUUUUUCUUUCCUUCCCUGGGUGCAUUUGUUUCUCUGUUCACCUAAUUGGAUAACUUCCUGGGUAUCUAAUUCUUUCCCUGGCCCAUUAAGCCUUCUCCCGUGCUGGCCCAGUUGGACUCCACCCCUGGCGACAGAGCCCACUGGCGAGCGUUUCCUUCUUCCUCCCGACGUCACUCCUGUACGACGUGCGCUCCACCUCUCGAUCACUCUCUCCUUGAUCCAGCGGCUCGAGCUCGCCUCCCGAGACGUUAAAGAGGAGCCCGGGACCCCCUCCUCCGCCCUAGGGUUCCCUCUCCGUUUUCCCCCAGCGCCGCCAGUGUCCUCCUGCCCUCGUUCUUCCCUGGUAAGUUUCAGAGAGGAAGCAGAGAGAGAGAGAGAGUGCAACGCCUCCUUCGUCAACCCGCCGAUCCGUCGUCUCCGGCACCGGCCGCCAUGGGAGUCUCCUUCCCUGCUUCGGUCUACGUCGGAGGAGCUUCUUCGGCGUCCUCCUCCCCGUUCGGCGCCCCAUCUUCUCCCAAGGUGAGGCCGCGUCCUCCCCGUCCUUCCUCCGCCGCGGACCGGCUCGGUCCCGUCGGGCGCAUGCUUCCUCUGUUAGUAGCAGCAGCAGGUUAGAGGAGCAGUAGCGGCUGUUCUGUGCCGAGUUUGUGCGUGCGUUGUCGAGAGGAGAGGCAAGGCGUAGUGGUGUAGCAGGGUGUUGGUAGCAGUUCGACGCGUAGUAGCAGCAGCAGCAGCCGGCAGUAGGCGCUAGCAGUAGCAGCAGCAGCUAGCCGGUGCAACUUAUCAGCUGCAGCGGCAGAGCACACUGCUGCGUUCCGGGCAGCCAAAGGAGGGACCUUUUCCCGUGCUCAGGGUGGGAAUGGAUCCCCUGAGAGUCCCGCGGGCCCCGCCGAUGGUUUCCCCUGCCGGUGGUGGCCGGGAGUGGCGCCGCCAGCGUCCUCGGGUCCGGCCGCCGGCAGAGCUCAUCUCGUGAGUGGAGUGGGUUUUACUUUUUACCUUCUCGUCUUAGCCAGUCUCCGGUCCGUAGCCCGAUGGUAGUGUUGCUCUGUCUUGUGCUUGCGCCUGAUGAGAGGUCCAGGGUUCGAGUCCCCCCCUCGGCGCCCUUUUGAUAUUUUGUUUUGAUUUAUGUUGCGGGUAGAUUACCUUGCCUUUUUCCCUUCUCCUGUUAACAUCAGUAACAGCAGCGCAGUGGUAGAUGUGUGUUUGUGUUAUCGUCAGGUGCAGGGUUCGAAUCCCAUGCGUUGCACCCCCCUUUUUAUCUUGCCUGUUUCCUUUCUGAUUUGCAGUAGGGCAGCACAACAGAGUUUAACCUCUGUUUGGGUCCUUCUCUGUCGAGCCCCAUGGGCAUAGCAGAGUGGGUGGGUGCAGUAGAGAGCAUCAGCAGGUUCAGGGUUCAAAUCCUGACCCCUCUUGCUAUUGUGUUCUUUCCCUGUUGUUUUUUUUCUUCUGCUACAUUUUUUUUAAAACACCCUUCUUACUAUUGCCGAUCUUGUGCCUACCAAAGGUGGCCAUGGAAUUAUGUUUUUUUUUCCUUGCUGUUAUAGUUGUGCUAGGUGAUGUAGUGUGUGUGGUUGUGCUUGUGAGAGAUGUGCAUGUGAGUGUGUUUUCCUUGUGCUUGGAGUGGGCUCUUGCACCAUGUGGGGCUAGUAGAUUGUGAUGUGUGUGCAUUAGCUUGUGGUAGCUCUAGUAUAGAUAUGUGUGUGAGAGCCUCACCCAUGGCAAGGCAUGAAGAGCAUUGAUGUGCUCAUGAGUAGUAGUGUGUGGUGGUGUUGGAUUCAUUUAGGGAGUGUAGCUAUUGUAUGCUCUAACUAGUUCUAGUAGGACUAGAUUUGUGUCAUGCUAGAUAUGUGGGUGGUGUGGACCUCCCCACCUUUACAAGUGGUGCACCUCCUCAUGUUUAAUAUGAGAGAGGGCAUAUUGUGUGUGUGGGGUUGGCUCAUGUGUGUUGGUGUUGUUGAUGUGCAUGACACAAACAUGGGGUUCAAACCCCCAUGUCACUUUGUCAUUGUGCACAUGAAACCCUCCUAUGUAUUGUCAUCUUAGAAGAAUACCUUAUGGAUUUGCAUUUUUAUUUUGUUGAAAGUUUGGGCUUUGUUUCCAUGAUAUAGAUGGAGCCCAAAGGCAUGGAUCUUGGUGUGUUAGUUGUAGGGGUUUGCGCUCAAUACCAUAGUGGUGUCAAACACCUCUUGGGAACUUGUGUGUGCAAACUAUGCCUAGACAAAGUGGGCAUGUGGUUGGGAAAUUCCAGAUUUUUGAACUCUGAAAAUUUCACUAAGUCUGGAAUGCUGAAAACAUUUUCUUCCCCUGUAGAUAAGGUUUUUCUGGUCAUUAUGUUGAGAACUGGACUUAGUUCAGUGCUAGUCUUUUGAACCUGGGGUGUUUGUGAAGCUUCCUGUCAAUUUUCAAGUCAUUUGGAGUCCAGUAGCUUGUGUUUUGAUUGCUGUAAAAAAGCUUCAGAACAGAAACAGAAACUCAGGUGCAGGAAUUUUCACUAAGUCCCUGAGAACUGAUGGUUUUGGGAAAGUUUGUGGCCUUGUAUCUUCUAGAGUUUAAUUCCUUUUGCUGUGAUUCUUGCUGGAGCUUGUAGUGUUCUUGGUUGGAAACAGCCACAUAUAUUAUUUGUCGUAUUUGAAGACCUGUAGCUAUGUUGCAUGUGGCUCACAAACAGCUAAGAUGCAGAAACUGGCAGAUUGCGUAGUUUUGACAUUUUGUUCAAAGUUUGUGUUUAAUUGUUGUUGGGGUGUUCUACCUUGCUCCAUUUCAUUCAUGUUGGGUUAAUAUAUGUCUUGGAAACCUGGGAACACCAGAUUUGUGCCAAUUGUGUGUGUGGUGAUGAAUCUUUCACGUAGGGCUUCAUAUCGUGUUUCGUUGAUUCCCGUUGAUCCGUAGCUCCGUUUGCAAAGUUCUUUACAUGGUUUUGCACCGUUUUUACGAGCUGCAUCUGUUAAUAUCAUUCCCAGGCAUGUCCAAAUAGUUUAGUGCAAAGUUAUGUCCAGGAACUUGUUGUAGUUUAUCCUGCUUGUGCUAGUGUUAGAAAUAGUGGUGCAUGCUCAACUUUCAUCUCAUGCAUCAUGUGAUUGUUGCAUUUUGUGGUGCUGCUGUUCAUUGGCUGUUAUUUCUUGUGUUGGGUAGCACCGGGAGCGGAGAACGAAUACGUGGAGUCAGGAGAGUACGUGCAGGACGAUCCAGAACCAUUCCAAGCUGAGGAUAUCACAGGCAAGAUGACAUGACCUUGAUCCCAUAUCUAGACUUGUUAUGUUAGUUUUGAUUCCACGUCAUAUUGCUCGCUGCCUACCACUGAAAAUAUAUUGCCUCUUCAUAUGCCAUGAGCCUAAACACUUUACUCUUUCCUAGCAAACUUGCCUGGCUAGGUAGGCUUGCUCAGCUACUAAUGUUAGCAUUGUUAGUUGCAGGUGUUUAUAACUCAUGAGUUGCCAUGAGCUUGAUAUCAUUAUAUUAAAUUUCUGUUAUUUAAUUAAUGUAUCUAUAUAUUUGGUAAAUGACGGGAGGCCUAGCCUUUUGCCGGGUGUCUUGUUCCGUUAUUGCCGCCUUAGUUACCGGUUACCGGUGUUUGAUUCCAUAAUGAUCGCUCCUAACACGUUCGGGGUUGUUAUGGGGACCCCCUUGAUAAAUCGCGUAGUGUUAAGGCUUGUCCGGCAGGACCCAACUUUGGUUUUAAUCUGCUAAUCACAUAAUAAUCUGCAUAGGGAAUAGCUACCCCGAGGAAUUUACUCAACAACCCGGGCCAGUGCUCCCCAUGAGUGUUGGCCCCACCUGAGCGAUGUCCGGGGCCCCACUGGUCACCCACAGGUUUAGCCAUCCGGACGUCUAGCUCAUCUGUCGUGUCCUGAGACUGAGAUACGCGGCUCUUAUCAGGGUCGUCGACACGACGGGAGGUCCUGCUAGCCUUGUCUUGCCUUAGCGGUAUAUCUUGCGUAUAGGAAUCCCGGUGAAGCUGUGGUUUUCCCCAGAGUUGAGGUUUUCCUCUAAGGAAUCCGACGAGAUCACGAGAUUCGUGAUAGAGGAUGCCUUUGCGGCCUGUGUUCGUUUGUGAUGGACUAGUUGGAGCACCCCUGCAGGGUUUAAUCUUUCGGAAAGCCGUGCCCGCGGUUAUGUGGCAACUUGGAAUAUCUUGCUAACAUCCGGUAUUAGAAAACUUAAACAUAAACUAAUAAAAUAUGCCAACUGUGUGUGUAACCGUGACUGUCCCUUCGAAGUCCUCUCUUCGAACGGGAACACGGUGGGGUUAUGAAUGUCGUAGGUAGGGGUUCAGGAUCACUUACUGAUCAAGCAUUCUUGUUCGUUAGCGUAGACCACGUUUACUUCCUUCUCGCGUAAGUUAGCCACUUAUUCAAUCAUAGGUUGCAGCAGCCUGAAACACUUCUUACCUUCCUUACCCAUCAACAUGACUAGUUCUGGCACCAAGGUCUUAGAUUGCUGAGUCCCCGUGGCUCACGGAUUCCUCCGAAACUUCCAGCAGGUACAGGUACCCCAGAGACCGAUGGUCCCGAUGGCAUCCAGCUAGCGUGGCAGUACGACGAGGAGACAGACCGUCUUUACGUGAACUAUCCAGAGGACUGAGCCAUGGUCGUGAUCGUGGGCCCGCAGCCGGUAGCAUAGCAUUUCCCUUGUUUUGUAGUCCGUACCGGAACUACCUUGUUUGUAUCUGCGUUGUACUCUGUAUUAUUAAUAAGAAGACAGUUGAAUCCCAGAUUGUCUACUAUAUUUAUUAUUAUGUGCUAUGUUUACUUGCUUGCAAAACACUUAGAUGCGCUUCUUUCCUAUUCGGGGGCCUCGACUCCCAGAUCGGAAAGGACCGCAUCUUGGUCGUUACAAUGUGUGUGUGUGUGUGUCACACACACAUGAGCAAGUGUGUUCAUGGUGGCCUUAGUACACCAUGGGGGUUCUUUGAGCACCUAGGGAUAAGUGGGUGAGUGUCAUGUGGUAGUUUUGUGUGUGUAUGCAUGUGUGUAUGUGGUCAUGCAUGUGUGUGUGGGCAUGGGUGCAUCUAUGCACUUGUGCAUGAGGGCUAACCCCUCAUGCUUGCCACCAUGGUGUGUN